UCGUGGCAGAUGUGAUCUCCCUUCUCCUUGGUCUAUGUCGUCGGAGUGGCUGUGCUCGGGAGGAUCUGCUUAGGGCCCGAGGCGUGUCGGAGUUGCCUCUCCGAGUAGGUGAGAUUGGGCUCGAUCCGGGUUGUGCCCACGGGCGGGGAGGCCCCUCCCUCCGUGGGUGCGGUGGUCGUUGGUGGUGGUCGGGACUUCGGAGUCAAGGGCCAUGGAAAUGGCGUCGUGCGAGUGUGUUCGUCGACGGCAGUCGAGAGUCACUGGGGUGUGUCUCCCUCAGUCCACCAGGACUGGCUGGGGACGCGGGGCUGGGGGCCCCUACAGUGGUGGCACCGGCCUAACCUUCAUGACUCGUGUUGGGCUAGGAGUGAAAGGUGCGGCCUUCUACGGUUCCUACUGUGGCUGGUACUUUGCAAUGUGGGCGGUGGGUGAGGUGCCGGACAUGGAUGACGGGGCGACGGCUCCGAAUGGCGGUUCACAUGGUUGGCUCUCCGAUGGGCACCAUGGCAGCGGUGGUGGCUCCCAUCUUGGUCGUGCGGGCGAUGAGAGGGGUAGCGGUUGGUGGCUCGGGUGCGUCCUCUAUUGGACGUCGCUCAGGUCUGGAUCUGGGGUCUGGGCACGUCGAGUUUUCCCUGGGGCCUUGGUGACAUGGGUGGGGUGCCGAGCGAAUGCUCAGCGCUUUUGCAUGGGCAAGGACGACGCUUGCGGUCGCCAUUCUCUUCUUGAAGGCGUCGUCGCGAAUCUUCUCUCCGUGUCAGAGUUCCUGGUGAAGACCCUUGCCCGGUGGGGCUAGGCAGUGACGACGCUCUGCGCCGUUACCCUUCUUGGGGGCAUUGUCUAGGAGCUUAGAUGUCCUAGGGUGUUGCAUGGGAUUCUUUUCAGUUUCUCCCGUGUUCUCCUUCGGUAGCGUAGUUGCUUGUCUUCUUCGCGAUCCGGGUAGCCUAGGAUCUGCUUUGUAAGAGGACUACCUCACCAUCUUGUAUCUCGUUUGCUCAUGUAUUUUGUUUGGUUUGUAUCUUUAUUUAUAAAGAGGGGAGAAAGCCUGUUUCGAGGAACUUUAGUAGUGAAAGGCAUGUUUAAAGGGUUAAGUCGGGAUGCAAGAUUGAAAACUAGUACAAAUCUAGAGGCUAACACACAUCGUCGCGCUGUUUUUCACUCUAUGAUUAAUUAUUUUUUCUAUACCAAGUUUUUGGGGUUGGUUGUCCUGUUUUAGUUUUAUUUAUUUUGGCUGGAGUUUUAAUUAUGUUCUGGUGGUGUGCUUUUGUCAUUCGUAUAUUAAGUUGGACUACUGUUAAAGUUCAUAUCUAUUCUGAAUGAAGGGUCAAGUUGUUAGUUGUGUAGUUGUGGUGUCUUUAUAUAUUUCGGCCUCAAUGUUAGUCCGUGGUGGUUAUGUGGGCCCGUUUGAGAUCUCUCAUUCCACGUUGAAACUGUGGAAUUGUUGCAAUAACGCCAACAUGGGCUAGCCCAUGAAGCUAUCGCUCAUUCAGCUCGACUCCCUGCUUCGCUUGCCCAUUUAGUUUUUCUUUCACUCGCUCCACUGUUAGCUUAGAAAAAGUUGGCCAUCGUAAUUUUUAUUUGAGAAGUUCAUUAAAUAAAAAAAUCACGUACUUAAAAAUCUUGGGUUUUAAAAAUUGUUGCAUUAAAACAUGAAUUUUGGGAAAAUGUUCAUAGAUUUCAUACAAUGUUUAUGAAUUUUUAAAAGGUACACAAAUCAAAAAGUUCUCACAGACUUUAAAAACAUUCUGGUACUUCCUCCCUCCGUUCCAUAAUAUAAGAUGUUUUAUUGUGGGGAGGAGGGAGUAAUUUUAUAAAUAUUCACGAAUUUUAAAAAUGUUCAUCAAUUCUAAAAAAGGUCAUAAUGUUCAUGGAUUUAAAAAUUAUCUGAAUUAAAAUGUGGAAAAAAUAAUAAAGAAAAGAGAAGAAAAAAACAAAAACAAACACGGAAAAAGUAGGAAAAGACAAACAGAAAAACAACUAAAACCGAUGAAAACAUAAAAAAUGCGGUCAAUACCUUCUCAAAAUCGUAAAAAUCUCCGGACCCAGUGACACACACCCUUAUAGGCGGAACCCACAACGUCCCCAUAGCCCCUGACGCACCAAGAAACACCAAAUCUAGAGAGCUUAGUAUCUUAUUAAUAGAUGAACUAUACACCCCAAAAUGUUCUAGUGAGCCGCAACUUGCUCCCUUGAUGUAGAUGAAAUUGUAUAAGCGAAGUUUUUGUAUUUGCUUAGACUUAGAACGCGCAAGAAAAUAAGUUUUUGCUAUUUAGGAUUUCAUAUUCUUGUUACUAGAUAUUCUGUAGGAAUAAGAAGAAACCGCAACUACUUUGAGCUACACAUGAAAAUUGAUUUCAACGGUCCAUUUUUUAGGGCUACGAUCAUCGAAGAGCAACCCAUCAGAUCAAUGUCCCGCUACAACAGAUCAAUGCAACUAUAACACUAUUGAGAAGCUAAGAUUGGGAGGGGACAUCUUCUACUUUAACAUUCAAGACGCUGAAGACAGACCUAGAUUAGAUCUGAUUUAGACAUCUCGUCGAGAUCGGACACUAAACAUUCCGGUGAAUUAGUUUACAAAUUGUUGGGGGCCGAAUUAUACUCGUCGAAGAGUUGCUCCCAGAGCCAUUAGAAUGGGCAACAUGCAUCGUGGAGUUUCGGUUCCGGCGGGAUGGAUGGGGACAACCUAUUUCGCGCGUGGUGCGACACAAUAUGCCCAAACGCGCCCCUCCCCCCUCUCCUCCUGCACGCGAUUUUGGGCUGAGCCAUGUGCCGGCUAGGGUGCCCUGUUUUUUUGUUUAUCUUUUUGAAAAAGAAUCAGGAUUUCGAAAAAUAUUCUAUAUUUCAUAUAAUGUCCUAAAUUUUAAUGAAAGGUCGCAUAUUUUGAACAUGUUUAUAAAUUUGAAAAAAAAUCCGGUAUUUCGAGAACAUUUCAUAAAUCUGAUAAAUGUUUUGAUUUUCAAAAAGAAAAUCACGGAUUUAAAAAAUGUUCGUGAAACCUAAAACAUGUUUAGAAAUUUCAAAAAAUGUUCUCGUGUUUGGAAAAUGUUCGUGAAUUUCAAAAAAUGUUCGCUGAUACAUAAAAUGCUCGUUGAUAUAAAAAAAUGUUCGUGAAUUGCAAAGAAUGCUUAUCAAUUAAAAAUUUUUCAGACUAUUUUAAAUGUUCUAAAUUCAAAAGGUGUUUAAAAAUUUCAAAAGAUGCCCCAAAUUUAAAAAUGUUCAUCCGGUCAAAUAGGUUCACAUAUUCAAUAAAUAGUUCCCAAAGUUUUUUAAAAACAAUUUAGAAAAUACGGAUGAAUUUUAAAAAUUAUUCCCCAAUUUAAAAAAUAGUCAGAAUAUUUUAAAUCAAAUAAAAGAAAAAGGAAUAAAGGAAAUGGAAAAAGUGUGCAAAACCCCUAAAAGGACAAACACAUAAAGGAAAAAAAAACGUUCAAGAAAGCUUAUAAAACCUUUCUAUAACCGGUCCUGAGAAAGGCACGUGAAAUCCGAAUAUGGGCCGCCCCAUGGAGCGCUCCUUCGGAAGCCUCCCCAACGAUCACAUGCGGUGGCUUAAGAGCGCGCCCAGCCGCCACCACGUGUCGUGCUCUGAACGCUUCCUCUAGAUUUUAUUAUUUUUCAUUUUUCCACACGCGUUUUUGGCUUUUUAAGUGUUUUUUUUUGCUUUUUCAUCAGUCUUUCUUAGUUCCUCGACAAAAAAAACGAAAAAAAUUGCUCGAAAAAACACGCUUUUUCCCGUGAGAGGCAUGGUUUUGCUUCUGCGAGACUCGGAAACGGAAAAACGCAUUUUUUUGUUCCGUUAGAGGCACGGUUUUGCUUUGGAGAAACACGAUUUCUUUUUUUUUCUUCCGUCGGAGGCGCGGUUUUGCUUCCGCGAGAGGCACCGCCAUGCCUUUCACAUGUUUUUUCUUUCGUCAGAGGCAUGGUUUUGCUCCCGCGAGAGGCACGGCCAUGCCUCUCAAAAAGGAAAACAAAACACAUUUCCUUUUUGUUUUCUUUCGUGAGAGUCACGAUUUUGCUUUCGUGAGAUGCAUGAUUUUGCUUCCGCGAGAGGCACGGCCGUGCCUCUUGAAAACGAAGAAAAAAUGCGUUUUCUCUCUUUUUUUUCUUCCGUGAGAGGCACGGUUUUGCUUUCGUGAGAGGCAUGAUUUUAUUUCUGUGAGAGGCACGGCCGUGCGAGAGGCACAUUCGUGCCUCUCGAAAACGAAAAAACAUGUUUUCUAUUUUUUUCUUCCAACAGAGGCGUGGUUUUGCUUCCGCGAGAGGCACAGCUGCACCUUUCAAAAACGAAAAAAUGUGUUUUUUUUUCUUUCGUCAGAGGCACGGUUUUGCUCCCGCGAGAGGCACGACCAUGACUCUCGAAAAGGAAAAAACACAUUUUUUUCUUCCGCGAGAGUCAAGAUUUUGCUUUCGUGAGAUGCAUGAUUUUGCUUCCGCGAAAGGCACGGCCGUGCCUCUUAAAAACGAAGAAAAAACACGUUUUAUCUCUUUUUUUCUUUCAUGAGAGGCAUGGUUUUGAUUUCAUGAGAGGCAUGAUUUUGCUUCUGUGAGAGUCAUGGCCGUGCCUCUCAGGAUUUUUUUUGUGAAAAAAAGUUUAUCAAAACCUGUCAACAUGGGAUCUAGUUUUGAAAAUCUCGACGCGAGGAAUACAAUGGUGAAAACGGUUCAACAUUUGGAGGCACGGUUUAAAAGAUAAAACGUUUUCCAAGGAAUAUUGUGUCUUUGCUUUUUUCUUUUAUUUCAUUAUUCACUUCGGUUUAUUCCCUUUCUUGUUAUUUUCUUUUUUCUUCUCGUAUUCUUUUUGUUUUCCUUAGUGCACCUUUUUAAAAAAAUUGUAAAACCUUUUUCUUUAAAUUGAUGAAACUUUGUUUUCAAUUUCGAUGAACUUUUUUCAAAAUCAAUAAACUUUUUUCAAAAUCGAUGUACUUUAAAUUGAUGUCCUCAAUCUGGUUUCUGGCCACCAGGUAUUGAUGAUUUACGGAAUUAGGAAUGUCCGAAUGGGAUGGAACAUAAACAGGGAAAGCACAUGAAUUUAUUCGAACUAGUUCUAGUACAUGUGUGUCCGACUAGCCACAGGCAUGCACAAAUUAAUAAUGAAAUAAUGGAUAAAUAGGAAAAAAUGGCUCAACCCGGAGUGCGACCUGAGCGCACGCACCACGGAGGAAAUGGCAAAUGUUGGAUCCUGGGAGCUUGGGAGGCUGUAUGGUCGUAUGGACUAUGGAGGUACGUACUAGAGCGCGAUCGUGAACGACGAUGAGAGCCAGCAGCCAGCAAACAUCGUAGAUCAUUCAUUCGACCACUGCUCGGACAAUGCGAGCAGCUCUUCCAAGUAGUCUGCUCCCAGGUCCUCCAGCUCCAGCACGCUCGACGCAGCAGCAGCACCACCAGGUUGCUUCUUCAUGUCACCCUCCUGGCCCUUGCCCUUGGGAGUGCGCUUCCGCAUGCAGUGGCGCCUCUUGAGCGCCAGCACGGGCGAGUCGUCCUCCCCCGCGGCCGCGGCUUUGCCGAGCUUCAGCACGCGCAGCGACUCCCGGACUCGCUCCACCGGGAAAUUGAGCACGGCCGCGGGUCCGCGGGACGUGUAGGCCGCCUGGUCGUAGGUCAGCGCGGCGGCCUCCGGGGUGUCGAAGGUGCCCAGCCACACGCGCUCGCCGCCGCGCGUGGAGUCCCGGAUCUCCGCCGCGUACUUGCCCCACGGCCGCCUCCGCACGCCGAUCAGCUGCGGAGUCUCUGCCUUGGCCUUCUUUGCCUCCUGCUGCUCCGCCCAGGAUGGUGCAGCAGGUGAGAUAGACGUGGCCUCCAUGAGCGCGCUGAACUGGUCCAUGCCCAUGCCCAUGCCCAUGCCCAUAGCACUCGCGGCGCCAUCGUACUGAUAGCUGCUGCCGCCGAAAUUGAGGUACUGUGGGUGCUGCUCCUGCGCGUAAGGGGCAAUGUCGUCGGCGGCGGCGUAGGACGGAGCCGCAGAGGAGGAAGAGUUGGUGAUGUCGUACUGGUAGUAGUGGUUGUCGUAGGAGGACUGGGGCUGGGUAGAAGCAGACUGCUGGUAUUGGUAGCCAUAGGAGGGCUCGGAAGUGGCAUAGCUCAUGCCGUAGUAGCAUGGGUUGCCAUCAUUUGUAUAGGACCCAUUGUUGUCGUAGUAGCCGUACCCGUUGUGGUUAAGUUCCAUCACUUGAUACUCCUGGCUAGGCUAAUCUCUCCUGCUUAAUUAGACAAUUAAGCACUUCAGGUAGUACGGUACUAGCUAGAAAGCAACUAACGUAACGAAGCCCUUAUAUAGAGCGAUCGACUUGCCGCGAAUAAGAAAUAUAUUUUGAGUUUGACUUAACAUAAGAUAAAGUGGUCAAAUUAAGUAGGGGAGGGGUGCUCACCUCCACCAUCUACAGGAUUAACUCUAGAUCUCAGAGACAGAUUAUCACAAUCUACUAUCUUACUCUUCUUUUGCAUCCCACUCAAAAAAGGAGGGCGCCCGGAGGCAGAAAUAAAACUCGCCAACAGAGCUCUCAAAAUUGGGUAUUAACUGAGACAAACAACGGAUAAACUGUUUUUAAAGAGAAGGGAUAGGUAGACUGUCCUUUCAUUUUAUCUUUAUUUUCUACAGGGUAGGGAGAAGCCUUGCGCCUUUGUUUUGUGAAGGCAAGUGACUUCGCAAACGGAGCUCCCAAAGUCGGAGCUACUGAGGUGGGGCCCUUGCGGUGAUGAUGACACGAGACGGGUGGUUGGCGCUGGCGCUGGCUUGGUGCAAGCCCAACACUUUUCUCAUGCAAUGCUCGUCGACAGAGUCGGAGCUGCCUGGUCGCCGGUGCGUGUGGCUAACUAUUUGGCAUUGGCUGGCGCAAGGCUCGACAUUUGUUUGCGAUGAGGGCUUCUUCGGUGGUCGUUGAUGGUGAAGUCGGAGUCGCCCUCGCGGAGGCGUGAUGACGAUGACGCCGGGCUGCAACCUCGAUGACGCUUUUCUCCUCGGCGGCGUGUAUGCGUUCUUGUGCGGGUUGCCAGGUCGCUCUGUGUGCCUUGUUUUCGUGGGCCUGUUGUGACGGUUUUCGUCUGGUUUUCCAUUAAUUAACCGGGUAAUUCUUUUAGAUAAUUUUUAAUGAAUCGAGUCCCAAGAAACCGUGUUUAAAAAAAUUGCCCUGCUAAUGAAUAAAAAAGGGUUGGGUACGCUCCUCUACAGUAUCUAGGGUAUAUUCGUAUUCUUGUAUCCAAGCUUGGAUUCUCUCCAUGUCUCUCUAACUGGUUCUUUUCCAUGGCGUCACCAGCGAAGCAGUGUAAAGCACACGGUACGGAAGAAUCUACUGCUCACUUGCGCUGGGAGGUUCGGCGGCUGCUGCAGUAGCUAGGUACAUGUUGGACAGAUGUGCAGGUUAUGUGUUCCCCAACAUUGGCCAGACAAAGCAACAAUAUGAUCAUAGUAUAGGUCAGCGACGCUUCCCGGAAGCAGUCAAGGGCCGGAGACAGCAUGCAAGCACAUGAAGCGGCUGUGGCUGCUAAAGUGCAGAUCGAUCACCAAGAUAAAUCGUUACUGUAUACGGUACAUACAUACAUUUCAGUAUGUCUGAGGAUACAUCUGUACAUGUGUGGAGUAUCUUCACUAGAUUUUCUGUGAAAAGUCCAAACCACGCCGCCGCCUCCUCACGUGCCCCGCUUCCCACGUCCAACCCCUACGGCCGUACCUACACAAACUUCCACAUCACAUUAUAUUCCAGUCAACCUGUAAAACCAGUAUAAUGGCACCUCCAACGCCGACCCGCAAACCUCCCGCAACCGUUCGGGUUGGCUGUCCGGACCGUGGAAGCCAUCCAACGCGGUCAUGUAUCGAUCCGUGACGUGGUCCGGAUGUGUUUUCUCCCGCAAACCGAAGACAAACAUGGAGAGGCUUUGCGGGAGUCUGGAUACGCGAAACGUCGCUCUCUACCCCCUGGCCCACCAAAAGGAAGAUGGAGCCCGCGCUUUUGUAGCAUCCCGCACUGUUUUCGCACCAAAAUCCCCCACUCUCUUCUUCCAUUCCCCGCCGCUCUCCGCCCAAUUCCCACUCUUUUCUCCCACCCUCUCCUUCCUUCCGCCGCCGACGCAUGGAACUGUCGGAGAACCUGUCGGAGAUGAAGCCAGCGGAGGUGCCGGAGGAUCCGAGCAUCACGCUCGCUCGGAAGAUCAGCUCAGCGACGCGGCAAACUCACCAUGCCAAAGCGAAGGCUGCAAAGGAGGAGAAGCUCAAGAAGUGGUUGGCCGCCGGUGGGCCUGGUGGUGGCAAUGGGCGGCGAGGUCGUGGCGGACGAGCUGGUCGGCGCGGCCGUGGCACACGCCGCCAAACGUGCGCGCCCACAUACAGACGGCGCCAUGGUCGGAGCCUUACAAGCCUUCAUAAUACUACACUGCCAAGCAGCUCAGAACCCCCGCCGGUACGGUGCCUUACAUCGUCAACGUUAACGCGGCGCCGCACUUCUCUGAGUAUUCUUCGCCGCAACUUGUCUGGGCGCGGACGGCGGUUGGGGAGCAGAUGGGUGCCCACACAUUGUUCGCUGCAAUGCCUAGUGCUGGGGAGCCGGCGUACGACGCGGACAGGGAGAUGCUCGACAUCAUCCACGACGGAGCCGAGAGAGGAGGAGGGGUCUAUGAGGACGGGUAGAUGGAAGACUCGAAUCCCACCCAGUCCGGCAACUACCAGGAGUAGCAGUCGUACGCCCAGACGGCCACGCAGCAGCCCUACACCCAGACCGGCGAUGGCACACAACAACGGUAGCAUUGGGCCGCCAGAGAGCAGCAGACGGAUGGAGAGGAGGAGGACGGCGACGAAGAUGAUACGGAUGAUACAGCCGAUGAUCUGAAGAAGAAGAAGAAGGGAAGAGGAGAAAGCUUUAACAUGCGGGAGGACGAGUUGUUGUGCGAUGCAUGGUUAGCCACCAGCAUUGAUCCAAUCCAUGGCAGGGAGCAAAAUGGCACAACCUUUUGGAGGAACAUUUACAUAUGGUCCCAUGAACACAAGCAUUUCGCGCCCUACUCCGAGGCGGUUAUCCGCAACCAUGAAUGGAAGUCCCUUAACCAUCGAUGGUAUACCAUCCAAGAGGCCGUGUCCAAGUAUUGCGGACACUUGAAGCAUCUCAUCACAUGGUGGCCUAGCGGUCCACAAAUCACUAAGUAAGUAAGUAUCUCACUAGCCGGAUAUGCUUUUGUUUUGUUGAUCACUACCCGGAUAUGCUUUAGUGUUGUUGAUCACUAACCGGACAUGUAUUGUUUUGUUGCUCACUUUGCCGACAUUGUUUCACUUUGGAGCCUACUCGUGCUUGUGUGGUGUACAAGAAGUUGGAGAAGAUGUCCUUCACCGUCAUGCAUUGUUGGUUGAAGUUGAAUGGGCAACAGAAGUGGAACCUUUUCAAUGCCAAGACCAUUGCCCAAGCCAACGAGCAAGAAAUUGUUGACUCUACCGACCCAACCCAAGAACCGCCGAAAAAGAUGAUAAAAGAAUUACGAGGGAAGAAGUUGGAGGAGGAGAGGGCGAAGCGAGAAGGUUGUUGGGGAACGUAGGAAUUUCAAAAAAAUUCCUACGCACACACAAGAUCAUGGUGAUGCAUAGCAACGAGAGGGGAGAGUGUGUCCACGUACCCUCGUAGGCCGAAAGCGGAAGCGUUAGCACAACGCAGUUGAUGUAGUCGUACGUCUUCACGAUCCGACCGAUCAAGUACCGAACGCACGGCACCUCUGAGUUCAGCACACGUUCAGCUCGAUGACGUCCCUCGAACUCCGAUCCAGCCGAGCUUUGAGGGAGAGUUCCGUCAGCGCGAUGGCGUGGUGAUGAUGAUGAUGUUCUACCGACGCAGGGCUUCGCCUAAGCACCGCUACGAUAUUAUCGAGGUGGAUUAUGGUGGAGGGGGGCACCGCACACGGCUAAGAGAUCAAGAGAUCAAUUGUUUUGUCUAUGCGGUGCCCCCCUCCUCCGUAUAUAAAGGGGGGAGGAGGAGAGGGCCGGCCAAGGGGGUGGCGCGCCCUAGGAGGGGGAAACCUACUCCAAGUAGGUUUGCCCCUCCCUUUCCUAGUCCAAGAAGGAGGGGAAGGAAGGAGUGGGAGAGGGGAAAGGCAAGGGGGGCGCCGCCCCCCUUUCCUUGUCCUAUUCGGACUCAAGGGGAGGAGGUGCGCCUCUUGCCCUGGCCGGCCUCUCUCUCUCCACUAGGGCCCAACAAGGCCCAUUAGUUCCGGCGGGGGGUUCCGGUAACCCCCGGUACUCCGAUAAAUGUCCGAAACCUUCCGGAACCUUUCCGGUGUCCAAACAUAGUCGUGCAAUAUAUCGAUCUUUACGUCUCGACCAUUUCGAGACUCCUCGUCAUGUCCUUGAUCACAUCCGGGACUCCUAACAACCUUCGGUACAUCAAAACACAUAAACUCAUAAUAUAACCGUCAUCGAACUUUAAGCGUGCGGAUCCUACGGGUUCGAGAACUAUGUAGACAUGAUCGAGACACGUCUCCGGACAAUAACCAAUAGCGGAACCUGGAUGCUCAUAUUGGCUCCCACAUAUUCUACGAAGAUCUUUAUCGGUCAAAACGCAUAACAACAUACGUUGUUCCCUUUGUCAUCGAUAUGUUACUUGCCCGAGAUUCGAUCGUCGGUAUCUCAAUACCUAGUUCAAUCUCGUUACCGGAAAGUCUCUUUACUCGUUCCGUAAUACAUCAUCCCGCAACUAACUCAUUAGUUGCAAUGCUUGCAAGGCUUAUAGUGAUGUGCAUUACCGAGUGGGCCCAGAGAUACCUCUCCGACAAUCGGAGUGACAAAUCCUAAUCUCAAAAUACGCCAACCCAACAAGUACCUUUGGAGACACCUGUAGAGCACCUUUAUAAUCACCCAGUUACGUUGUGACGUUUGGUAGCACACAAAGUGUUCCUCCAGUAAACGGGAGUUGCAUAAUCUCAUAGUCAUAGGAACAUGUAUAAGUCAUAAAAAAACAAUAGCAGAAUACUAAACGAUCGAGUGCUAAGCUAACGGAAUGGGUCGAGUCAAUCACAUCAUUCUCCUAAUGAUGUGAUCCCGUUAAUCAAAUGACAACUCAUGUCAAUGGCUAGGAAACAUAACCAUCUUUGAUCAACGAGCUAGUCAAGUAGAGGCAUACUAGUGACACUAUGUUUGUCUAUGUAUUCACACAAGUAUUAUGUUUCCGGUUAAUACAAUUCUAGCAUGAAUAAUAAACAUUUAUCAUGAUAUAUGGAAAUAAAUAAUAACUUUAUUAUUGCCUCUAGGGCAUAUUUCCUUGAAGAUAGACAUCCCUCUAAUCAUCUAAGUGAUCACGUGAUCCAAAUCAACUAAACCAUAACCGAUCAUCACGUGAAAUGGAGUAGUUUUCAAUGGUGAACAUCACUAUGUUGAUCAUAUCUACUAUAUGAUUCACGCUCGACCUUUCGGGCUCAGUGUUCCGAGGCCAUAUCUGCAUAUGCUAGGCUCAUCAAGUUUAACCUGAGUAUUCUGCGUGUGCAAAAACUGGCUUGCACCCGUUGUAGAUGGACGUAGAGCUUAUCACACCCGAUCAUCACGUGGUGUCUGGACACGACGAACUUUGGCAACGGUGCAUACUCAGGGAGAACACUUUUAUCUUGAAAUUUAGUGAGAGAUCAUCUUAUAAUGCUACCGUCAAUCAAAGCAAGAUAAGAUGCAUAAAAGAUAAACAUCACAUGCAAUCAAUAUAAGUGAUAUGAUAUGGCCAUCAUCAUCUUGUGCUUGUGAUCUCCAUCUCCGAAGCACUGUCAUGAUCACCAUCGUCACCAGCGCGACGCCUUGAUCUCCAUCGUAGCAUCGUUGUCGUCUCGCCAACUUAUGCUUCUACGACUAUUGCUACCGCUUAGUGAUAAAGUAAAGCAUUACAGGGCGAUUGCAUUGCAUACAAUAAAGCGACAACCAUAUGGCUCCUGCCAGUUGCCGAUAACUCGGUUACAAAACAUGAUCAUCUCAUACAAUAAAAUAUAGCAUCAUGCCUUGACCAUAUCACAUCACAACAUGCCCUGCAAAAACAAGUUAGACGUCCUCUACUUUGUUGUUGCAGGUUUUACGUGGUUGCUACGGGCUGAGCAAGAACCGUUCUUACCUACGCAUCAAAACCACAACGAUAGUUCGUCAAGUUAGUGUUGUUUUAACCUUCUCAAGGACCGGGUGUAGCCACCCUCGGUUCAACUAAAGUUGGAGAAACUGACACCCGCCAGCCACCUGUGUGCAAAGCAUGUCGGUAGAACCAGUCUCGCGUAAGAGUACGCGUAAUGUCGGUCCGGGCCGCUUCAUCCAACAAUACCGCCGAACCAAAGUGUGACAUGCUGGUAAGCAGUAUGACUUGUAUCGCCCACAACUCACUUGUGUUCUACUCGUGCAUAUAACAUCAACGCAUAAAACCAGGCUCUGAUACCACUGUUGGGGAACGUAGUAAUUUCAAAAAAAAUCCUACGCACACGCAAGAUCAUGGUGAUGCAUAACAACGAGAGGGGAGAGUGUGUCCACGUACCCUCGUAGACCGAAAGCGGAAGCGUUAGCACAACGCGGUUGAUGUUGUCGUACAUCUUCACGAUCCGACCGAUCAAGUACCGGACGCACGGCACCUCCGAGUUUAGCUCGAUGACGUCCCUCGAACUCCGAUCCAGCCGAUCUUUGAGGGAGAGUUCCGUCAGCAGGACGGCGUGGUGACGAUGAUGAUGUUCUACAGACGCAGGGCUUCGCCUUAGCACCGCUACGAUAUGAUCGAGGUGGAUUAUGGUGGAGGGGGGCACCGCACACGGCUAAGAGAUCCAAGGGACCAAUUGUUGUGUCUCUAGGGGGUGCCUCCCUCCCCGUAUAUAAAGGAGUGGAGGAGGGGGAGGGGGCCGGCCACCCUUGGCGCUUCCCAUGAGGAGUCCUACUCCCACCGGGAGUAGGACUCCCCCCUUCCAUGUUGGAGUAGGAGAGGAGAGGAAAGGAGAGAGAGGGAGAAAGGAAAGUGGGGGCGCCCCCCCCCCCCCCUCCUUGUCCAAUUCGGACUAGGGGGUAGGGGCGCGCGGCUGCCCCUUGGCCGCCUCUCCUCUUCCACCACUUGGGCCCAUGAGGCCCAAUAACCUUCGGGGGGUUCCGGUAACCCCCCGGUACUCCGGUAUAUAUCCGAUAACCCCCGGAACCAUUCCUGUGUCCGAAUAUAGUCGUCCAAUAUNNNNNNNNNNNNNNNNNNNNNNNNNNNNNNNNNNNNNNNNNNNNNNNNNNNNNNNNNNNNNNNNNNNNNNNNNNNNNNNNNNNNNNNNNNNNNNNNNNNNNNNNNNNNNNNNNNNNNNNNNNNNNNNNNNNNNNNNNNNNNNNNNNNNNNNNNNNNNNNNNNNNNNNNNNNNNNNNNNNNNNNNNNNNNNNNNNNNNNNNNNNNNNNNNNNNNNNNNNNNNNNNNNNNNNNNNNNNNNNNNNNNNNNNNNNNNNNNNNNNNNNNNNNNNNNNNNNNNNNNNNNNNNNNNNNNNNNNNNNNNNNNNNNNNNNNNNNNNNNNNNNNNNNNNNNNNNNNNNNNNNNNNNNNNNNNNNNNNNNNNNNNNNNNNNNNNNNNNNNNNNNNNNNNNNNNNNNNNNNNNNNNNNNNNNNNNNNNNNNNNNNNNNNNNNNNNNNNNNNNNNNNNNNNNNNNNNNNNNNNNNNNNNNNNNNNNNNNNNNNNNNNNNNNNNNNNNCCCUCCCCGUAUAUAAAGGAGUGGAGGAGGGGGAGGGGGCCGGCCACCCUUGGCGCUUCCCAUGAGGAGUCCUACUCCCACCGGGAGUAGGACUCCCCCCUUCCAUGUUGGAGUAGGAGAGGAGAGGAAAGGAGAGAGAGGGAGAAAGGAAAGUGGGGGCGCCCCCCCCCCCCCCCCCUUGUCCAAUUCGGACUAGGGGGUAGGGGCGCGCGGCUGCCCCUUGGCCGCCUCUCCUCUUCCACCACUUGGGCCCAUGAGGCCCAAUAACCUUCGGGGGGUUCCGGUAACCCCCCGGUACUCCGGUAUAUAUCCGAUAACCCCCGGAACCAUUCCUGUGUCCGAAUAUAGUCGUCCAAUAUAUCAAUCUUCAUGUCUCGACCAUUUCGAGACUCCUCGUCAUGUCCGUGAUCACAUCCGGGACUCCGAACUACCUUCGGUACAACAAACACAUAAACUCAUAAUAUAACCGUCAUCGAACUUUAAGCGUGCGGACCCUACGGGUUCGAGAACUACGUAGACAUGACCGAGACACGUCUCCGGUCAAUAACCAAUAGCGGAACCUGGAUGCUCAUAUUGGCUCCCACAUAUUCUACGAAGAUCUUUAUCGGUCAAACCGCAUAACAACAUACGUUGUUCCCUUUGUCAUCGGUAUGUUACUUGCCCGAGAUUCGAUCGUCGGUAUCUCAAUACCUAGUUCAAUCUCGUUACCAGCAAGUCUCUUUACUCGUUCCGUAAUACAUCAUCCCGCAACUAACUCAUUAGUUGCAAUGCUUGCAAGGCUUAAGUGAUGUGCAUUACUGAGUGGGCCCAGAGAUACCUCUCCGACAAUCGGAGUGACAAAUCCUACUCUCGAAAUACGCCAACCCAACAAGUACCUUCGGAGACACCUGUAGAGCACCUUUAUAAUCACCCAGUUACGUUGUGACGUUUGGUAGCACACAAAGUGUUCCUCCGGUAAACGGGAGUUGCAUAAUCUCAUAGUCAUAGGAACAUGUAUAAGUCAUGAAGAAAGCAAUAGCAACAUACUAAACGAUCAAGUGCUAAGCUAACGGAAUGGGUCAAGUCAAUCACAUCAUUCUCCUAAUGAUGUGAUCCCGUUAAUCAAAUGACAACUCUUUGUCUAUGGCUAGGAAACAUAACCAUCUUUGAUUGACGAGCUAGUCAAGUAGAGACAUAUUAGUGACAUUAUGUUUUUCUAUGUAUUCACACAUGUAUCAUGUUUCGGUUAAUACAAUUCUAGCAUGAAUAAUAAACAUUUAUCAUGAUAUAAGGAAAUAAAUAAUAACUUUAUUAUUGCCUCUAGGGCAUAUUUCCUUCAAACGUGUGGCGGCCAAGAUGACAGAGAGGUUCGAGGACAUCUUGGCGAGAAGGAGGAGGCAUGCAUGAGGCGCUCGGACAUCAAGGAGAAGAAGAAGGCAUAGAGGUUUAAACUGUUGAUGGAGACGACAGACAAGAAGCUCAAUCUCAAAGAGAGGAGGACCAUGACCGAAGAGAGGAAGGUCGCGUUCAAGGAAAACAGGGUGAAGAUGACCGCCAAUGCAGAAGACGCCUAGAUGUUGACCUUGAAUAUCGACUCUUUGGAUGCCGAUGCAAAAAUGAUCGUGCAAUCCGUCCGCUACCAGAUGUUGCAGCGGCAGAAAGAUGAGUUGGCGGCGGCGGACUAUGAGUACACGGCGGAGGCGGACGCGGAAGCGAAGGCGGAGGUUGCCUACACGGCGGCGAUGGCACCUCCUUAAUCGGGGAGCACACGACUGGGAUUGCCGGUCAUGUAGGGCAGAAAUGCACGGUCUGCAGGACUGGUGUUCUUUAGGAUUCAGACAUGUAAAAGCUAAGAAAAUUCGCUUCUUUUUGGUUGCGAUCGGACAUGCGAUCUGGCGCUGGUGUGACCGACGCGUUGUAUGAAUCAGAGUACAUUUGAAUUUUAAUUUACUGACGUAUACAUAUAGGAUAGCGUUGGAUGGCGGCCUCCCGCACCCGUGUCUGCGGACUGGUCCCCUGUACAUGGACGGAUGCGGGAGAAAAUUUACGGGUUGUCGUUGGAGAUGCCUUAACCCCGUAUAUGUAGUGUCGUGGAUUUGUCACGGCAGAUGUCCUAGUUUGAGGACUUAGUCGUGAGGCCAACGCAACUAGGUAGUAGCUUGAGAGGGGUUGAUCGGGACGAGAGAUGUGUGUAGAUCGUCGAAGCGGAUUAGCACACGAGACAAGAUUUAGACAGCUUCGGGCCCCGGGGAAACAUCAUCCGGUAAUAACCCUACAUGUUGUUUAUGGCUAGGUCUUAUUCAGUAUGCUCAUGAGGGAGUUGAUGUAUAAGCCGGCUCUCCUCUUGUUGUAUCUAGCCCUCAAGAUUCUUUCGCUCCUCUUGGGGUGCCCUGGCCCUCCUUAUAUAAGUUGGAGGGGCGGGUUACUUGUGGAGUCCCAAUAGGAUUAGGACUAGUCUAUCUUCUAAUACAAGCCGGGUACAAGUCCGGAUCUUGAUUCCUUGUAAGGGAAAAUAUCCCUCACGCCUUUCGUCUUAAGCCGGCCCACCAUCACAUGAACCGGCCUACUGGGCCUUGGGCCUUAUCGUCCGUCUGACCCGCCCACCGGGUCACCAGUGAGUCGCAAUGUUCAGGCGGAUUGCCCAUAAACCGCCAGGUCCAAGCGGGUCGCCAAGUUCCAGCCGGGUCAUACAUCCGGCGGGUUACACCGUGGGGUAUAUCCCCGACAUUAGCCCCCAGUUUAGCUUGGCUUUAUCAAUGGUAAACUUAUACUGCAAAAUAAACACAAGAACAAAUUUGACAGAUUGUGCUCCGGGUUAAAAGUUUUCUUGAACCGGCACCUGAUCAUUCUUAAGUCCUUGUCAUUUCCUUCUUGAUACGUGUCCAUGACUUAUAGCAAAUCUCCUUUAGCAGAUAUGUUCAAACUUUGCCAAUGCAAAAAAUUUGGGCACUUCUUCUGAAAAGUCCGGGUCAAUAGGCUAGUUUCAUAGUCACUUUGUUGACAUUGGCUUCUUGCAGAAAAAUAUUAUGAAGAAUAAUUCAUUUGAUUCAGCUCCCAAUGCUUAACAAAAAUAUUGGUCUUGAAAUACUCAUCUGAUUUUCAGCCGGCUUGAAGAUGUAGAACUUACCGGUUUGUAAAUAUUGAUGGCACCGGGUCAUAUCAAGCUUGAAAAUGUACCUCCCUUAUAUGCAUGUCACUUUAAGCCCCCAAGUCUUAAGAAGGGAGCAUAGUAACAGCUUAAGACUUGCUUCAAUAUAAAUGUCGCAACCUUGAAGAAAUCCGGUUUGUUCAUCUCAGUCACUAGUCAUAAACUGAAUAUUCCACAUAUGUAGCCCCCAAGUGCCGGGUUGUCAUGCUUGCAGCAACCUCGCACUUGUAACUGCCUUAUGUUCAUAAAAACUUCAACCAGUGUAGCCCCCAAGGGCCGGGUCAUUAUACAAUAAUGAGCAGGGACUUUGUAGAUAUGAUCAUGUAGAUUUGAGCAGUAAAUAAUAACACCAAAUGAUGUAGCUCCCAAGUUUCGGGUUACCUUUGACAGGAGCAAUUAGUAGCCCCCAAGGGCCGGCUUAUUACGAUGUGAUGAGUCGGGUCUUCAAUAAGGCGAGUUAAAAAUGACCUUGCAUUAGCCCCCAAGUGUCAUGGUGCAUUCUUGCAGCGACAUGGGACUUGCAUCCUUGAUAUAAUCAUGAUUUGAAUAAUGUAGCCCCCAAGUGCCGGUUCGUAAGCCUACAGCGACUCGGGACUAUUACUUCCAUUGUAAAAUAAAACCAUAUCCACUGUUCAGAUGACUUUGCUGAAAGCCUUGCAUAUUCAAUAUUGAACCGUGCUCUCUGUUGUGAGCCGGUAUUCUUGGAUAAAGAAAUAAUAGCCAUUGCUUUAAAGCGGCUUUGAAAAGCUCAAUCAUAAUACUGAUUAUUGACAACCAUAAUAAAAAUCCAGCCAUGUUGGCUAUUAAAGAUUUGAAUAAUAUAUUCCGGUAUGAAAAACCUCAAUCAUAAGAUCUUCUGUGUUGACAAGUAAAUCCGGAGUUUAAUACCCGGUGGCUCUUGGCCGAUAGCGACUUAAUGCGCAUCCAUUGUACUCCGGGAUGCAAUUACCCGGCGUCUUAUAGCCUUUGUAAAAAUUAAGAAUUGAUAACCCCAUCCAUGGCGGCUCAUAAUCAUGUCCAGUUUUUGACAAGAUCACUUUCGCGGCUCAUAGCCUCAAUAAACUCAAUAUUGAACAAUAUAACCCGGAGCUGGAUAACCCGAAAAUAUCUUCAGAUGGCCAGAUGAUGGGUUUAAACGCAAUGAUUCAUAUGAGCAAUAGCAGUAUUCUUAUGUGUAAAGCUCUGCAUGUCCUACACAAAGUUUAAACAACAUAUGCCCUGGCGAUUUAACGUCAAAAGCCAGGGUGGGCAACAACCCAAACAUAAUAUAGUCUCAUGCAAUUAUAGAAAAAACUAGAAUUAAGGCCAUUCAAGCCUAAGCAUAUUGGCGACUUAAAGUCAAAAGCCAGGGCAGGUUAUCAAACCUCGCAUAUUUAUAUAACCAGGAAAACAUACCUGUAGGAUUGAUUUAUACUGCUGGCUUACAUUGCCAUACCCAGUGAGGGUAACAAUCCAAUGAUUUAUAGGAGCAUGAUUCCAUUGCGCAAUCCAAAAUAUACUGGCGACAUAAUGUCCAAAGCCAGGGCGGGGUAUCAAACCUCGCAUAUUCAUCCAACAAUUUAAAAAUAUACCUAGAAAAUUGGCUCAAAUUGCCGGCUUACAUCGCCACAUCCAGUGAGGGUGACAACCCAAGUAUUCAUAAGCGCAUAAUCCCAAUUUGCACAAUCCAAAGUACACUGGCGACUUAAAGUCCAUAGCUAGGGCGGUUUACCAAACCCAACAUAUUCAUACCAUUAUUGAAAGACAUGCCUUUAGAUUAAUACCAUGGUGAUGCCUUGAUAAUUAUAAUCCGGGGCCAGUAUCAACCUGGAGUCAUGAAAUAUCAUCAUUUUGAUUGCUCAAGGCAAAAUAUCCUGGCGACUUAAAGUCUGCUAUCAGGGCGGGUUAUCAAACCCAAAGAUGCUCAAUGAUGAGCCAUAUAAUCAAGGCUACAUGGCCUGUGAAAUCAGUUCAUACUGCCGGCUUACAACGCCAUAUGCAGCUAGGGUAACAUCCCAAAUACUUAGAGUGAAAAUCUCCAAGCACAUAAUCAAAGCACACCGGCGACUUAUCGUCCAAAGCCAGGCCGGGUUACCAAAACUCCGGAUAUACUCAAAUAUGAGUCAUGAGGACUAAGGCUACAUAGCCUGAAUCAUUCUAAACCAUAUGUCAAUAUGGUAUAAGAAUAUGAACCAAAACAAUGUUCAUAGAAAAUAGCAAGUCAGAAAAAAAAACAAGGCUUUCAUAGGCUGCCAAACCUCAAUAUCAAGUGCUAUUCAAGGGCCGCACAACCACUGAGUUAAUCCUUUAUUCAAACCUGUACGCCGGGCCUCACAUGACCAUCGUCGUUUUAACUUUGACAAGUUCAGGGUCUUUAUAAGAUUGACUGUCAAGAGUACGGCGAGUCAUUCCAGGAUUACCUGGCCGGAGUGGCAAGCAUACAAAGGCAAGAUAAUCCGGAUUUUUGGUGAAUACACCUGGCGUCCAAGCCUAUUACAAGGGACAAACAAAGCUUUGUUCCAUUAAACAAGAAGCCCCCAAGUAAUUUUUCAAUCCAGGCGUAUAAGCCGGACCAAUAAGGUAGUCAUAGCUAUGCUCAAUGAGCAGGAAGCCCCCAAGUAAUUUGCAAUUAAGGUAGACAAGCCAGAUCAGUAGGGUAGUCAUAGCUAUGCUCAAUGAGCAGGAAGCCCCCAAGUAAUUUUUAACAAGCCAUCAAGGUAGGUUACCUAUGUUUGAACGGCACAUUAUAGCAAGUUCUCUUUGGUAACAAUUCAACUUGGGUAGAAAACCCCCAAGUUAUUUGCAAUCAAGGCAUGCAAGCCGGAUCAAGAGGGUAAGCAUAGCUACGCUCAUUAAGCAGGAAGCCCCCAAGUGAUCAUAAUAUGAUAAGCCAAUAAGGCAGGAUGCCUAUGUUUGAACCACGCAUCAUGGCAACAAGUUCUCUUUGGCAAUUUUUAAUUUUUCCUGAGAACCCGAACUUGCGAGAGAUGGAUUCUUUUUGAACCGGAAUUUUAAACCAGAUAUUGAGAGCUUCAAAGCUUUGUGUGAAACAGAUUUCCCUUGAGCUGGAUUUUGAACCAGAAUCCUUCAUUUUAAGCCGGAAAUUUUCUGACGGCCUUUAAAUUUUCAUCAAUAUGGUAGCAGCCUCUGGGACCGGGUUAUCUUCCCUCCAAUGACCCGGGCUUCUUGAAUUUGCUGGAACUGGCAAGAUUUGCUGAGUCAUGUCAUUGUAGCCCCCGAGUCUUAAGACGACUCGAGGAGUUGUCUUGACAUUCUCCAUAUUUAACCGUGAUAUAAAUCGGCAUUUGUCAUUCAACAACUCAGUGAUAUAAUAGUCCCUUUUGUAGUAGACAACUUGUCCUGCAUGGGAGAACUUGCAAGCCAGAGUAAUUGCUCUUUUAAAGAAAACAAUAUGUAAUAUAAAAACAUACUGGAUGGAUUUCACCUGAUAUGUCAGGCCAGAAAUUAUCCACCGCGGAGUUGAUGAUCACCAUGGUGAAGCUGAAAUCAAUCACGGCCGAGUUGGCCGUGGGAGCAGACAGGUGAGCUAGCCACGGCGUUGUAAGCCAGCGCGGACGGGCGAGUCAAUCGCAGGCGCGGUUAAGCCAUGCAAACGGCGACUCAAUCGCGGGCGCGGUUUCCGGCGAGUUCAUGUGGAUUGAGCUGCACGGACGGCGGCUUGCGCACACCCGUUCAACAGAAAGCGGACGCGGACGCCGGUGCAUGAUGAUGUUAAUGCAUACUCCAUAGGCAUAGCAUGGCAUCACCUUUAUAAUGAAUUAUUGUCCUACGUAUAAAAAUAUACAGAUAAAGUAAUUGUUCUUUUACAAAAAACAAUAUAUAUAUACUAAAAAUAGACUUAGAUGGAUAUCACCUGAUGCAUCUGAACGCGAGAUGAUCUUCACGUGCUCCAAAAAUUAACGUGGAUAUAUAGAGGCCCGGCAGUGGCGUGGACGCGCAUGCCAUGACCCACCUCCUCUUUUUUGACAUAAGCAAACCCUUGUUUCAAGGUAUUUUCAGUGACAUUGGGGUCAAAACCAUCAAAUAUAGUGGGUUGUUCAAACUGGGCUCCUGGCGUAUUUGUACUUGGAGUUGGUACUCUCUCCUGAAUCCACGUUGUCUUUCUCUUUGCAAAGUUCACAAUCCCAUAAUCUUUUGAACACAAUGUCAUCUUGUCAGUCAUGAUUUUUUCUCCCUUCACUGAAAGGUAAUUGACCCUGAAUGUUUCCUGUAGCAUGUAGUCUACAAUAUCAGCUUGCAACUCCUCAAUAAAGAUUGUAUUAGUCUGUGGUAUUAUCACACUCUUCACCAGCACUGGCCUAGUUAGGUCUGCACACCAGCUCAACAUUUGGCAUCCUUUGUCCAUUGACUGUCUGAAGAAAACCGCUCAGCAGCUGUAUGGCUAGCAAACUCGACAAAACCAUAACCCUGAAGCUAUCCAUUGUACUUGUUUCGGGUAAACUGAACAGAUUGGACCUCCCCAGUAUUGGUGAAGUAGCAGCAGAUUUAGAACACAACGUCUUCAAAUCGUGCGGAGCAGUAGCGGCGACUCAGGAGACAGGCACGCGGGCAGCUGUGGUGCGACGGACCUAGCGGGAGGCCAGUGCACGGGUGCUGGGUUGGAACCGGAGGCAUGUGAUGUGGCGGCGACUUGGCCUGGCCGCAGCGAAGUUGGUCCGCAGCAAGGUGGCUCCACAGCGGAGGCGCGCCGGCGGAGGCUAUCGACUCACCGCGAGGUCCGUGUGAGGGCAGCUCACACCAAAAGGUGGAAUGGCAACUCAGUAGGCGAGCGGUCCGGUCGGUUCAAUGGACGGUGACUCAGGACAGGGACCACGGCAGCAACUUGGCUCAGCGCGGGGACCUUUCAACCGAGUGAGGAAACGAUGGAGCUCCGGCGCGAGCGGACAAGAGGCCGCUGAAGGGCGGUCCGGCUUGAAGUCACGUCGAAGAUGAUUGCAAGUUUGUGCGCUAGCCGUCUUUGAUUGUUGCAACUAGGGGUAUCUGAAGACGGUAACCGCAACAGGUCACCGUUGGUUCCCCUCAGAUGAAUAGCAGCAGCAACCGGCUAAAUAUUCAUGACUUGCUGCAACGCCGGCCUGUUCACGUCUGGACUUGAGCAUUGAGAAUUAAUUUUGAUCUCUGAUGAUUUUGCCAACAGAAUAUUCUUCAUCUGGAAAUUUGUGAACUUCUCGAAACCCUGGGAAAGAUCCCUCCAAGAACUCAACACCACCAUGUGCAAGCCCCGCUGUGGGCGCCAACUGUCGUGGAUUUGUCACGGCAGAUGUCCUAGUGUGAGGACUUAGUCUUGAGGCCAACGCAACUAGGUAGUAGCUUGAGAGGGGUUGAUCGGGACGAGAGAUGUGUGUAGAUCGUCGAAGCGGAUUAGCACAUGAGACAAGAUUUAGACAGCUUCGGGCCCCGGGAAACAUCAUUCGAUAAUAACCCUACAUGCUGUUUGUGGCUAGGUCUUAUUCAAUAUGCUCAUGAGGGAGUUGCUGUAUAAGAUGGCUCUCCUCUUGUUGUAUCUAGCCCUCAAAAUUCUUUCGCCCCUCUUGGGUGCCCUGUCCCUCCUUAUAUAAGUUGGAGGGGCGGGUUACAUGUGGAGUCCCAAUAGGAUUAGGACUAGUCUAUCUUCUAAUACAAGCCGGGUACAAGUCUGGAUCUUGAUUCCUUGUAAGGGAAAAUAUCCCUCACGCCUUUCCUCUUAAGCCGGCCCACCAUCACAUGAACCGGCCUACUGGGCCUUGGGCCUUAUCGUCCUUCUGACCCGCCCGACGGGUCACCAGUGAGUCGCAAUGUUCAGGCGGGUUGCCCGUAAACCGCCAGGUCCGAGCGGGUCGCCAGUGAGUCGCCAAGCUCUAGCCGGGUCAUACAUCCGGCGGGUUACACCGCAGGGUAUAUCCCCGACAUGUAGCAUUACUGAUCUCUUCUGCCAUCGCAGUCACCGAAGUCCGAAAUCCCGCAACUCCAGGGCGCACCUUGCCGUUUAGGCUGUCAUGAGUACGGUAGCGCCUGCCUGCAUAGUAGCCACGCGGGCCAUCGUCGUGUAUGUUUUCUGCUUAGAAAUUUAUGUACACAAAGACAAGAACAAUGUUAUACACACGACAAUUUCUGAACGAUUUUUGGAGCCCAAAUUUGGUGGUUGAUCCUUUUGCCAAACUUUAUCGGUAUCAGACCCCGGUUGCAAAAGAAAUAUCAUGAUUUGACCAUUUUUCCUACUGCCACCCGACCCGGCGGUAGGGUAUCACAUCCUACCACCACAGCCCCAGGCAGUAGGUUAACGACAUGCCAUUGAUAGCCGUUUACACAUCUGUUGUGGCAAAGGGGCCUGCUGCCCAAGACCCCGACGCUCAGGUGCUCGAGCCUACCGCCAAGCACCCCGGUGGUAGGUCUGUGUAGUGGAUAAGGUGUUGGGGUGGAUGGGUGGGCCCCCACCCACCCAUUCACCCCUAAUCUCCUUCUUCCCACCGAGCUCAUCCUCUUUCCCCCUCUCUUCCCACCAAGGCACCCACAAAAUCCCUCUCCAUUGCUAGAGAUUUGUCCGGUGGAUCCGAAGCAUUUGCAUCACCCAAGGUACCUCUCCCACUCCCCCUUCUUUUGGUUGGUUUGAAUCACCUAUUUUGGUUGCAUUGCUCACAUUGUUGCAAACCCUAGUUCUUGCUCUUGUUGUUGUGAAAUCAAACAAUAUGAUGCAUUUUUGGUUGUGUUUGUGCUUUGCCUAUGUAUUGUGUGCCUAGCAUUGUUGGGGGUAAGAUCUUGUGCAAGGGUUGGUGGUUUUGUUAGGGAAGGGUUAGGGUUAUGGUUAGGUUUUGUGUUAAGGCUAUUGCUACCUCUUGAGCAUGCAUUGGUUUUCCCUUGAAGAGGAAAGGGUGAUGCAGCAAAGUAGCGUAAGUAUUUCCCUCAGUUUUUGAGAACCAAGGUAUUAAUCCAGUAGGAGGCCACACGCAAGUCCCUCGUACCUACACAAACAGAUAAGAACCUUGCAACCAACGCGAUAAAGGGGUUGUCAAUCCCUUCACGGCCACUUGCAAAAGUGAGAUCUGAUAGAGAUGAUAAGAUAAUAUUUUUGGUAUUUUUACAAUAAAGAUUAAAAGUAAAGAAAGCAAAAUAAACGGCGAAAGAAAUAGCUAGUUGACGAGAGAUUAAUAUGAUGGAAAAUAGACCCCGGGGCCAUAGGUUUCACUAGUGGCUUCUCUCAAGAUAGCAUAAGUAUUACGGUGGGUGAACAAAUUACUGUCGAGCAAUUGAUAGGAAAGUGCAUACUUAUGAGAAUAUCUAGGCAUGAUCAUGUAUAUAGUCAUCACGUCCGUGACAAGUAGACCGACUCCUGCCUGCAUCUACUACUAUUACUUCACACAUCGACCGCUAUCCAGCAUGCGUCUAGAGUAUUAAGUUCAUAAGAACAGAGUAACGCAUUAGGCAAGAUGACAUGAUGUAGAGGGAUAAACUCAAGCAAUAUGAUAUAAACCCCAUCUUUUUAUCCUCGAUGGCAACAAUACAAUACGUGUCGUUUCCCCUUCUGUCACUGGGAUCGAGCAACGCAAGAUUAAACCCAAAGCUAAGCACUUCUCCUAUUGCAAGAAAGAUCAAUCUAGUAGGCCAAACCAAACUGAUAAUUCGAAGAGACUUGCAAAGAUAACCAAUCAUACAUAAAAGAAUUCAGAGAAGAUUCAAAUAUUUUUCAUAGAUAAUCUUGAUCAUAAACCCACAAUUCAUCGGAUCUCGACAAACACACCGCAAAAAGAGUUACAUCGAAUAGAUCUCUAAGAAGAUCGAGGAGAACUUUGUAUUGAGAUCCAAAGAGAGAGAAGAAGCCAUCUAGCUAAUAACUAUGGACCCGAAGGUCUGUGGUAAACUACUCACACAUCAUCGGAGAGGCUAUGGUGUUGAUGUAGAAGCCCUCCGUGAUCGAUUCCCCCUCCGGCGGAGCGCCGGAAAAGGCCCCAAGAUGGGAUCUCACGGGUACAGAAGGUUGCGGUGGUGGAAAUAGGGUUUCGUGGUGCUCCUCGAUGGUUUCGGGGUACAUGGGUAUAUAUAGGAGGAAGAAGUAGGUCGGUGGAGCCACGAGGGGCCCACGAGGGUGGGGGGCGCGCCCAGGGGGGCAGGCACGCCUCCCUGCCUCGUGGCCUCCUCGGUUGUUUCUUGACGUCCACUCCAAGUCCUCUAAAUCACGUUUGUUCCAAAAAGAACUCUCCCGAAGGUUUCAUUCCGUUUGACUCCGUUUGAUAUUCCUUUUCUGCGAAACACUGAAAUAUGCAAAAAACAACAAUUUGCACUGGGCCUAGGGUUAAUAGUAUAGUCCUAAAAAUAAUAUAAAAGUGUAUAAUAAAGCCCAUUAAACAUCCAAAACAGAAUAUAUAAUAGCAUGGAGCAAUCAAAAAUUAUAGAUACGUUGGAGACGUAUCAAGCAUCCCCAAGCUUAAUUCAUGCUCCUCCUCGAGUAGGUAAAUGAUAAAAACAGAAUUUUUGAUGUGGAAUGCUACCUAGCAUAUUUAUCAAUGUAAUUUUCUUUAUUGUGGCAUGAAUGUUCAGAUCCGAAAGAUUCAAGACAAAAGUUUAAUAUUGACAUGAAAAUAAUAAUACUUAAAGCAUACUAACAAAGCAAUCAUGUCUUCUCAAAAUAACAUGGCCAAAGAAAGUUAUCCCUACAAAAUCAUAUAGUCUGACUAUGCUCUAUCUUCAUCACACAAAGUAUUUAAUCAUGCACAACCCCGAUGACAAGCCAAGAAAUUGUUUCAUACUUUUGAUGUUCUCAAACUUUUUCAAUCUUCACGCAAUACAUGAGCGUGAGCCAUGGACAUAGCACUAUAUGUGGAAUAGAAUGGUGGUUGUGGAGAAGAUAAAAAUGGAGAAGAUAGUCUCGCAUCAACUUGGCGUAUCAAUGGGCUAUGGAGAUGCCCAUCAAUAGAUAUCAAUGUGAGUGAGUAGGUAUUGCCAUGCAAUGGAUGCACUAGAGCUAUAAUGUGUAUGAAAGCUCAACAAAAGAAACUAAGUGGGUGUGUAUCCAACUCGCUUGCUCACAAAGACCUAGGGCAUUUUGAGGAAGCCCAUCAUUGGAAUAUACAAGCCAAGUUCUAUAAUGUAAAAUUCCCACUAGUAUAUGAAAGUGACAACAUAGGAGACUCUCUAUUAUGAAGAUCAUGGUGCUACUUUGAAGCACAAGUGUGGAAAAAGGAUAGUAACAUUGUCCCUUCUCUCUUUUUCUCUCAUUUUUUUUAUUUGGACCUUCUUCCUUUUUUUAUGGCCUCUUUUUUUUCGUCCGGAGUCUCAUCCUGACUUGUGGGGGAAUCAUAGUCUCCAUCAUCCUUUCCUCACUUGGGACAAUGCUCUAAUAAUGAUGAUCAUACACUUUUAUUUACUUACAACUCAAAGAUUACAACUCAAUACUUAGAACAAAAUAUGACUCUAUGUGAAUGCCUCCGGCGGUGUACCGGGAUAUGUGAUGAAUCAAGAGUGACAUGUAUGAAAGAAUUAUAAAGGUGGCUUUGCCACAAAUACGAUGUCAACUACAUGAUCACGCAAAGCAAUAUGACAAUGAUGAAGCAUGUCAUAAUAAACGGAACGGUGGUAAGUUGCAUGGAAAUAUAUCUCGGAAUGGCUAUGGAAAUGCCAUAAUAAGUAUGGUGGCUGUUUUGAGUAAGGUAUAUGGUGGGUGUAUGAUACGGGCGAAAGGUGCGCGGUACUAAAGAGGCUAGCAAUGGUGGAAGGGUGAGAGUGCGUAUAAUCCAUGGACUCAACAUUAUUCAUAAAGAACUCACACACUUAUUCCAAAAAUCUAUUAGUUAUCGAAACAAAGUAAUACGCGCAUGCUCGUAGGGGGAUAGAUUGGUAGGAAAAGACCAUCGCUCGUCCCCGACCGCCACUCAUAAGGAAGACAAUCAAUAAAUAAAUCAUGCUCCGACUUCAUCACAUAACGGUUCACCAUACGUGCAUGCUACGGGAAUCACAAACUUUAGAACAAGUAUUUCUCAAGUUCACAACUACUCAACUAGCAUGACUCUAAUAUCACCAUCUUCAGAUCUCAAAACAAUCAUCAAGUAUCAAACUUCUCAUAGUAUUCAAUGCACUCCAUAUGAUAGUUUUUAUUAUACCCAUCUUGGAUGUUCAUCAUGUUAGGACUAAUUUUAUAGCCAAGGACAACUACCAUGCUGUUCUAAAAGACUCUCAAAAUAAUAUAAGUGAAGCAUGAGAGAUCAAUUAUUUCUAUAAAAUAAAACCACCACCGUGCUCUAAAAAGAUAUAAGUGAAGCACUAGAGCAAAAUUGUUUAGCUCAAAAGAUAUAAGUGAAGCACAUAGAGUAUUCUAAUAAAUUCCGAUUAAUGUGUGUCUCUCCCAAAAGGUGUGGACAGAAAGGAUGAUUGUGGUGAACUAACAAGCAAAUACUCAAAUCAUACAAGACGCUCCAAGCAAAACACAUAUCAUGUGGUGAAUAUAAAUAUAGCUCCAAGUAAAGUUACCGAUGGACGAAGACAAAAGAGGGGAUGCCUUCCGGGGCAUCCCCAAGCUUAGGCUUUUGGUUGUCCUUGAAUUUUACCUUGGGGUGCCUUGGUCAUCCCCAAGCUUAGGCUCUUGCCACUCCUUGUUCCAUAAUCCAUCAAAUCUUUACCCAAAACUUGAAAACUUCACAACACAAAACUUAACAGAAAAUCUCGUGAGCUCCGUUAGCGAAAGAAAACCAAACACCACUUCAAGGUACUGUAAUGAACUCAUUAUUUAUUUAUAUUGGUGUUAAACCUACUGUAUUCCAACUUAUCUAUGGUUCAUAACCUCCGAUACUAGCCAUAGAUGCAUCAAAAUAAGCAAACAACACACGAAAAACAGAAUCUGUCAAAAACAGAAUGGUGUGUAGUAAUCUGUAUCAAACGCAUACUUCUGGAACUCCAAAAUUCUAAAAUAAAUUGCCGGACUUGAGGAAUUUAUCUAUUAAUCAUCUUCAAAAAUAAUCAACUAAAUAGCACUCUCCAGUAAAACGUUGUAGCUAAUCUCGUGAGCGCUAAAGUUUCUGUUUUUUACAGCAAGAUCAAAAAGACUUCACCCAAGUCUUCCCAAAGGUUCUACUUGGCACAAACACUAAUUAAAACAUGAAAACACAUCUAACCAGAGGCUAGAUGAAUUAUCUAUUAAUAAACAUAACCAAAAAGCAAGAAACGAAAAUAAAAUUAGGUUGCCUCCCAACAAGCGCUAUCGUUUAACGCCCCUAGCUAGGCAUAAAGGCAAGAAUAGAUCUAGGUAUUGCCAUCUUUGGUGUUGGGAAAGAAAAGAGAAAAUUUCUUAUCUAUAGCAUUAAUCUUUCUAUUUUGAGAAAGCAAGUGGCCAUUAAUGGCGGAAGAAAGAGUAAGCACGCUACGGAAAUUUGCAUCUAAGCUAGCCUUCAUUUCUUCGAUAAUUUCAUUUUGAUAGAAGGACAAAAGAGAGGUGGAUUCAACCUUCUCACUCAUGGGGUGCCCAAAUAUAGUUUUCAUCUUUUCAUAGGUAUCUAUGAGAUCUCCCUCAAGAAAACCUUCUUCAAAAAUAAAAUCUAAAACUUGCUUGAACGAAGAGGGCAAGCCAACAUAAAAGCUUUUUAGGUAUAUCUCAAUUUGAUAUUGAGGCACAUAGCUAGCUCGGAUCCUUACUAAUCUAUCCCAAGCAUCUUUUAAAGACUCAUAAAGUAAAUAACAAAAAAUUCCGGGAUCAUCUUCAUCGAAAUUAUUCAAACCCUCAUUGAUAACCCCGGUAGGUAUUUCCAUAGCAUCAUUAUUUAUGAGCCUAGAGAGGACAGAGGGACUAUCCAAAGUAUUAAAACCCGGGAGAGAACCCUUAGCCCUUUUUUAUUCGGCCAUGGCGAAAGAAAAACAAAUGGGAAAGAGGCGAAUAAAACGGCAAAGGUGAAGUGGGGGAGAGGAAAACGAGAGGCAAAUGGCAAAUAAUGUAAUGCGAGGGAUAAGAGUUUGUGAUGGGUACUUGGUAUGUCUUGACUUGUGCGUAGAAUCCCUGGCAAUGGCGCCAGAAAUUCCUCGUUGUCGGGAGAUCAAAUCUUGACUUGACUUGGCGUACACCUCCCCGGCAACGGCGCCAGAAAUCCUUCUUGCUACCUCUUGAGCAUGCAUUGGUAUUCCCUUGAAGAGGAAAGGGUGAUGCAGCAAAGUAGCGUAAGUAUUUCCCUCAGUUUUUGAGAACCAAUGUAUCAAUCCAGUAGGAGGCCACACGCAAGUCCCUCGUACCUACACAAACAAAUAAGAACCUUGCAACCAACGCGAUAAAGGGGUUGUCAAUCCCUUCACGACCAAUUGCAAAAGUGAGAUCUGAUAGAUAUGAUAAGAUAAUAUUUUUGGUAUUUUCAUGAUAAAGAUUAAAAGUAAAGAAAGCAAAAUAAACGGCGACAGAAAUAGCUAGUUGGCGGGAGAUUAAUAUGAUGGAAAAUAGACCCGGGGGCCAUAGGUUUCACUAGUGGCUUCUCUCAAGAUAGCAUAAGUAUUACGGUGGGUGAACAAAUUACUGUCGAGCAAUUGAUAGAAAAGUGCAUAAUUAUGAGAAUAUCUAGGCAUGAUCAUGUAUAUAGGCAUGACGUCCGUGACAAGUAGACCGACUCCUGCCUGCAUCUACUACUACUACUCCACACAUCGACCGCUAUCCAGCAUGCAUCUAGAGUGUUAAGUUCAUAAGAACAGAGUAACGCAUUAGGCAAGAUGACAUGAUGUAGAGGGAUAAACUCAAGCAAUAUGAUAUAAAACCCAUCUUUUUAUCCUCGAGGGAAACAAUACAAUAUGUGUCAUUUCCCCUUCUGUCACUGGGAUCGAGCAACGCAAGAUUGAACCCAAAGCUAAGCACUUCUCCUAUUGCAAGAAAGAUCAAUCUAGUAGGCCAAACCAAACUGAUAAUUCGAAGAGACUUGCAAAGAUAACCAAUCAUACAUAAAAGAAUUCAGAGAAGAUUCAAAUAUUGUUCAUAGAUAAUCUUGAUCAUAAACCCACAAUUCAUCAGAUCUCGACAAACACACCGCAAAAAGAGUUACAUCGAAUAGAUCUCCAAGAAGAUCGAGGAGAACUAUGUAUUGAGAUCCAAAGAGAGAGAAGAAGCCAUCUAGCUAAUAACUAUGGACCCGAAGGUCUGUGGUAAACUACUCACACAUCAUCGGAGAGGCUAUGGUGUUGAUGUAGAAGCCCUCCGUGAUCGAUUCCCCCUCCGGCGAAGCGCCGGAAAAGGCCCCAAGAUGGGAUCUCACGGGUACAGAAGGUUGCGGCGGUGGAAAUAGGGUUUCGUGGUGCUCCUUGAUGGUUUCGGGGUACAUGGGUAUAUAUAGGAGGAAGAAGUAGGUCGGUGGAGCCACGAGGGGCCCACGAGGGUGGGGGGCGCGCUUCCCUGCCUCGUGGCCGCCUCGGUUGUUUCUUGAAGUCCAAUCCAAGUCCUCUAGAUCACGUUUGUUCCAAAAAGAACUCUCCUGAAGGUUUCAUUCCGUUUGGACUCCGUUUGAUAUUCCUUUUCUGCGAAACACCGAAAUAGGCAAAAAAUAGCAAUUUGCACUUGGCCUUGGGUUAAUAGGUUAGUCCCAAAAAUAAUAUAAAAGUGUAUAAUAAAGCCCAUUAAACAUCCAAAACAGAAUAUAUAAUAGCAUGGAGCAAUCAAAAAUUAUAGAUACGUUGGAGACGUAUCAAGCAUCCCCAAGCUUAAUUCCUGCUCGUCCUCGAGUAGGUAAAUGAUAAGAAUAGAAUUUUUGAUGUGGAAUGCUACCUAGCAUAUUUCUCAAUGUAAUUUUCUUUAUUGUGGCAUGAAUGUUCAGAUCCGAAAGAUUCAAGACAAAAGUUUAAUAUUGACAUGAAAAUAAUAAUACUUCAAGUAUACUAACAAAGCAAUCAUGUCUUCUCAAAAUAACAUGGCCAAAGAAAGUUAUCCCUACAAAAUCAUAUAGUCUGACUAUGCUCUAUCUUCAUCACACAAAGUAUUUAAUCAUGCACAACCCCGAUGACAAGCCAAGAAAUUGUUUCAUACUUUUGAUGUUCUCAAACUUUUUCAAUCUUCACGCAAUACAUGAGCGUGAGCCAUGGACAUAGCACUAUAUGUGGAAUAGAAUGGUGGUUGUGGAGAAGAUAAAAAUGGAGAAGAUAGUCUCACAUCAACUUGGUGUAUCAAUGGGCUAUGGAGAUGCCCAUCAAUAGAUAUCAAUGUGAGUGAGUAGGGAUUGCCAUGCAACGGAUGCACUAGAGCUAUAAUGUGUAUGAAAGCUCAACAAAAGAAACUAAGUGGGUGUGCAUCCAACUCGCUUGCUCACGAAGACCUAGGGCAUUUUGAGGAAGCCCAUCAUUGGAAUAUACAAGCCAAGUUCUAUAAUGUAAAAUUCCCACUAGUAUAUGAAAGUGACAACAUAGGAGACUCUCUAUUAUGAAGAUCAUGGUGCUACUUUGAAGCACAAGUGUGGAAAAAGGAUAGUAACAUUGUCCCUUCUCUCUUUUUCUCUCAUUUAUUUUUAUUUGGGCCUUCUUCCUUUUUUAUGGCCUCUUUUUUUCUCUUUUUUUUCUUUUCGUCCGGAGUCUCAUCCCGACUUGUGGGGGAGUUGUCGUGGUUUUGUCACGGCAGCUGUCCUAGAGAAAGGACUUAGUCGUGGAGCCAUCGCUACGGGUUAACUUAAAGGGGUUAAAGCGGACAAGGGACGCAAGAGAGUUUUAUACUAGUUCGGCCCCUUACGAUGAAGGUAAAAGCCUACGUCUAGUUGUGAUGGAAUUGCUGGGGUUUCGAUGACCAGGGAGCGAAUACGCUUUGCCUGAGUCUCGAGUUGUUGUGUGUUGUCCUUGAACCGCCGCCGGGUCGUCCCCUUAUAUACAUGGGUUGACGCCCGUCGGUUUACAGAAUCCCGAGGCCGGCUCAUAAUCGUGUCCGGCUCGGUCUCUGCUACUUCUAUCUUACAACACAAGUUUACAUAUCAAUGUCAGUUUAUGUCUACAGGCCUUAAACCGGCUUUGGGCCCUGGGCCUUCAUAAAGCGUCACUGUCUGUCUUCAUGGACUUCAGAUACAGAUGAACUACUUAUGGGGUUAACCCGGCCUCUCCUGGCCGGUUUACGCCCAGUGGUAAUAUCCCCAACAUUAGGCCCCAGAUUGAUUUGAACUGGUUCAUGUCAAUCCUCAAUACUUAAGAAAAUUUCUCCUUCAACAUCUUCACAUAACCAUCGUGACCUCAUCUUCUAGGAUCAUGGUAAACCGCCGUGACGUCACCUGUUAUUUAAAACUGUGUAUAAUCCACCUUCAUUAAUGAGCCUCCGGCAAUCGAGGCGACAGAUCCGCCUCAUAUCCAAAAUUUAGGCUCCUCGAUUUUCACGCCUGACGCUUAUCUUUCUGCCCUUAUAAAUAGAGCCAGGGGUCUUUCCAUUCCCCCCCCCCAUAUCUCUUCACCUCAUCUUCUUCCUUGCACUGCCCAUCCUUUGGAGCUCCGCCGCCACCAUCGACCUUUGUUUCUUCCUCCGCGACGGCCGCUGCAUCAACCUGAUCGGACCAGAAAAACGCGGCAAUCCUCCGCUGCUUCCUCAGCACCAGUACGUUCCUCCUUUCUUACUCCAGAUCGACCAUUAGGGUUCGUCGUUCUUCGUAGUUCUUCGAAGUUCUUGAAUCUGUUUGUUUCUCUUUAGCAGUACCAAUGGCUAGUUUAGAUCUUCUUUUUCCAAAGCCUUUGUACUUUAAACUCCUGCUUCCUUGUUAGAACAUCUGCCUUGUAUAAAACUCAUCUCAACUUGGUGAACCUUUAACACGCUGGAAAUUAGGUCAGAAUAUAUUUCGUUUUUCCAAUGCAUGGUAGAUCUGAAAUUACCAUGGCAAGAUGUGAAACUUGUUUCUUCCUUCACUUAUACGCUUUUAAUACCAGAUUGGGCCAUAGUUUUCACUAGUUGCUUCUCUCAAGAUAGCAUAAGUAUUGCGGUGGGUGAACAAAUUACUGUCAAGCAAUUGAUAGAAAAGUGCAUAAUUAUGAGAAUAUCUAGGCAUGAUCAUGUAUAUAGGCAUCACGUCCGUGACAAGUAGACCGACUCCUGCCUGCAUCUACUACUAUUACUCCACACAUCGACCGCUAUCCAGCAUGCAUCUAGAGUAUUAAGUUCAUAAGAACAGAGUAAUGCAUUAGGCAAGAUGAGAUGAUGUAGAGGGAUAAACUCAAGCAAUAUGAUAUAAACCCCAUCUUUUUAUCCUCGAUGGCAACAAUACAAUACGUGUCGUUUCCCCUUCUGUCACUGGGAUCGAGCAACGCAAGAUUGAACCCAAAGCUAAGCACUUCUCCUAUUGCAAGAAAGAUCAAUCUAGUAGGCCAAACCAAACUGAUAAUUCGAAGAGACUUGCAAAGAUAACCAAUCAUACAUAAAAGAAUUCAGAGAAGAUUCAAAUAUUGUUCAUAGAUAAUCUUGAUCAUAAACCCACAAUUCAUCGGAUCUCGACAAACACAUUGCAAAAAGAGUUACAUUGAAUAUAUCUCCAAGAAGAUCGAGGAGAACUUUGAAUUGAGAUCCAAAGAGAGAGAAGAAGCCAUCUAGCUAAUAACUAUGGACCUGAAGGUCUGUGGUAAACUACUCACACAUCAUCGGAGAGGCUAUGGUGUUGAUGUAGAAGCCCUCCGUGAUCGAUUCCUCCUCCGGCGGAGCGCCGGAAAAGGCCCCAAGAUGGGAUCUCACGGGUACAGAAGGUUGCGGCGGUGGAAAUAGGGUUUCGUGGUGCUCCUCGAUGGUUUCGGGGUACAUGGGUAUAUAUAGGAGGAAGAAGUAGGUCGGUGGAGCCACGAGGAGCCCACGAGGGUGGGGGCGCGCCCAGGGGGGCAGGCGCGCCUCCCUGCCUCGUGGUCUCCUCGGUUGUUUCUUGACGUCCACUCCAAGUCCUCUGGAUCAUGUUUGUUCCAAAAAGAACUCUCCCGAAGGUUUCAUUCCGUUUGGACUCCAUUUGAUAUUCCUUUUCUGCGAAACACUGAAAUAGGCAAAAAAGAGCAAUUUGCACUGAGCCUUGGGUUAAUAGGUUAGUCCCAAAAAUAAUAUAAAAGUGUAUAAUAAAGCCCAUUAAACAUCCAAAACAGAAUAUAUAAUAGCAUGGAGCAAUCAAAAAUUAUAGGUACGUUGGAGACGUAUCAGCUAUGGAUUAAAUUUGACCAUGUUUUUCUUGUUGUUUCUAUGCAAUGCAUACAAGUUCCUUGAGUCAAAGUAUGCAUAUUGUAGGUAGUUCAUCCAUAUGAAUCGGCCAGCCCAUGGAUGACUUGAUGUUUUUUCUCCAUUGUUCUUAGAUGGAUAGGCUCGUUAAUGUGCAUUAUUUGGACAAGGCAGCAUCUAUGAAUGGAAAUGCCGAUGAAGGGGAGGAGCCCAUGGUUUUUUGACACAAGUCCAAGCUAUGAGGAUGUGAAGGAAAUAUGCCCUAGAGGCAAUAAUAAAGUUAUUAUUUAUUUCCUUAUUUCAUGAUAAAUGUUUAUUAUUCAUGCUAGAAUUGUAUUAACCGGAAACUUAGUACAUGUGUGAAUACAUAGACAAAAAGAGUGUCCCUAGUAUGCCUCUAAUUGACUAGCUCGUUAAUCAAAGAUGGUUAAGUUUCCUAGCCAUAGACAUGUGUUGUCAUUUGAUGAACGGGAUCAAAUCAUUAGAGAAUGAUGUGAUGGACAAGACCCAUUCGUUAGCUUAGCAUUAUGAUCGUUUCAGUUUCAUUGCUACCGCUUUCUUCAUGACUUAUACAUGUUCCUCUAACUAUGAGAUUAUGCAACUCCCGAAUACCGGAGGAACACCUUGUGUGCUAUCAAACAUCACAACGUAACUAGGUGAUUAUAAAGAUGUUGUACAGGUGUCUUCGAAGGUGUUUGUUGGGUUGGCAUAGAUCGAGAUUAGGAUUUGUCACUCCGUGUAUCAGAUAGGUAUCUCUGGGCCCUCUCGGUAAUGCACAUCACUAUAAGCCUUGCAGGCAAUGUGACUAAUGACUUAGUUGUGGGAUGAUGCAUUACGGAACGAGUAAAGAGACUUGCCGGUAACGAGAUUGAACUAGGUAUGAUGACACCGACAAUCGAAUCUCGGGCAAGUAACAUACCGAAGUCAAAGGGAACAAUGUAUGUUUUUAUGCGGUUUGACCGAUAAAGAUCUUCGUAGAAUAUGUAGGAGCCAAUAUGAGCAUCCAGGUUCCGCAAUUGGUUAUUGACCGGAGAUGAGUCUCGGUCAUGUCUACAUAGUUCUCGAACCCGUAGGGUCCGCACGCUUAACGUUCGAUGACGAUCGGUAUUAUGAGUUUAUGUGUUUUGAUGUACCGAAGGUUGUUCGGAGUCCUGGAUGAGAUCACAGACAUGACGAGGAGUCUCGAAAUGGUCGAUACAUAAAGAUUGAUAUAUUGGAAGGUUAUAUUCGGACACCGGAAAGGUUUCGGGGGUCACCGGAUAAAUACCGGAGUACCGGGGAGUUACCGGAACCCCCCGGGGGGUCAAUGGGCCUUCAUGGGCCUUAGUGGAAAUAGAGGGCAGCAAGGGAGCUGUGGGGCGCGCCCCCCUAGGCCCAAACCGAAUUGGUUUAGGGCUUGGGGGCGGCCCCCUCUUUCCUUCUCCCCUCCUCCUCUUUCCUCCCCCUCCUAGUUGGACUAGGAAAGGGGGAACCUACUCCUAGUAGGAGUAGGAUUCCCCCCUUGGGGCGCACCCUACGAGGCCGCCGGCCCCCUCCCCUUGCUCCUUUAUAUACGGGGGCAGGGGGCACCCUAGAACACACAAGUUGACAGUUGUCUUAGCCGUGUGCGAUGCCCCAUCCACAGAUUUCCACCUCGGUCAUAUCGUUGCAGUGCUUAGGCGAAGCCCUGCGUCGGUAGCUUCAUCAUCACCGUCACCACACCGUCGUGCUGACAAAACUCUCCCUCGACCUCAGCUGGAUCUAGAGUUCGCGAGACGUCACCGAGCCGAACGUGUGCAGAUCGCGGAGGUGCCGUACCUGUUGGGGAACGUAGUAAUUUCAAAAAAAUUCCUACGCACACGCAAGAUCAUGGUGAUGCAUAGCAACAAGAGGGGAGAGUGUUGUCCACGUACCCUCGUAGACCGAAAGCGGAAGCGUUAUCACAACGUGGUUGAUGUAGUCGUACGUCUUCACGAUCCGACCGAUCAAGUACCGAACGCACGGCACCUCCGAGUUCUACACACGUUCAGCUCGAUGACGUCCCUCGAACUCCGAUCCAGCCGAGUGUUGAGGGAGAGUUUCGUCAGCACGACGGCGUGGUGACGAUGAUGAUGUUCCACCGACGCAGGGCUUCGCCUAAGCUCCGCAACGGUAUUAUCGAGGUGUAAUAUGGAGGAGGGGGGCACCGCACACGGCUAAAAUAUCGUAUAUCAAUUGUGUCCAUGGGGUGCCCCCCUGCCCCCGUAUAUAAAGGAGCAAGGGGGAGGCCGCCGGCCUAGGGAGGAGAGGCGCGCCAGAAGGGGGAGUCCUACUCCCACCGGGAGUAGGACUCCUCCUUUCCUUGUUGGAAUAGGAGAAGGGAAGGGAGAAGGAGAAAGAAGGAAGGGGGCGCCCCCCUUCCCUAGUCCAAUUCGGACCAAAUCAUGGGGAGGGGCGCGGCCACCUUUUGAGGCCUUUCUCUCCUUUCCCGUAUGGCCCAUGAAGGCCCAAUACGAAUUCCCGUAACUCUCCGGUACUCCGAAAAAUACCCGAAUCACUCGGAACCUUUCCGAAGUCCAAAUAUAGUCGUCCAAUAUAUCGAUUUUUACGUCUCGGCCAUUUCGAGACUCCUCGUCAUGUCCCCGAUCUCAUCCGGGACUCCGAACUCCUUCGGUACAUCAGAACUCAAUAAAACUGUCAUCGUAACGUUAAGCGUGCGGACCCUACGGGUUCGAGAACUAUGUAGACAUGACCGAGACACCUCUCCGGUCAAUAACCAAUAGCGGAACCUGGAUGCUCAUAUUGGUUCCCACAUAUUCUACGAAGAUCUUUAUCGGUCAAACCGCAUAACAACAUAUGUUGUUCCCUUUGUCAUCGGUAUGUUACUUGCCCGAGAUUCGAUCGUCGGUAUCUCGAUACCUAGUUCAAUCUCGUUACCGGCAAGUCUCUUUACUCGUUCCGUAAUACAUCAUCCCGCAACUAUCUCAUUAGUCACAAUGCUUGCAAGGCUUAUAGUGAUGUGCAUUACCGAGUGGGCCCAGAGAUACCUCUCCGACAAUCGGAGUGACAAAUCCUAAUCUCGAAAUACGCCAACCCAAAAAAUACCUUUGGAGACACCUGUAGAGCACCUUUAUAAUCACCCAUUUACGUUGUGACGUUUGGUAGCACACAAAGUGUUCCUCCGGUAAACGGGAGUUGCAUAAUCUCAUAGUCAUAGGAACAUGUAUAAGUCAUGAAGAAAGCAAUAGCAACAUACUAAACGAUCGAGUGCUAAGCUAACGGAAUGGGUCAAGUCAAUCACGUCAUUCUCCUAAUGAGGUGAUCCCGUUAAUCAAAUGACAACUCAUGUCUAUGGCUAGGAAACAUAACCAUCUUUGAUUAACAAGCUAGUCAAGUAGAGGCAUACUAAUGACACUCUUGUUUGUCUAUGUAUUCACACAUGUAUUAUGUUUCCGGUUAAUACAAUUCUAGCAUGAAUAAUAAACAUUUACCAUGAUAUAAGGAAAUAUAUAAUACUUUAUUAUUGCCUCUAGGGCAUAUUUCCUUCAGUACCUUCGGUGCUAGGAUCGGUCAGAUCAUGAAGACGUACGACUACAUCAACCGCAUUGUCAUAACGCUUCCGCUUUCGGUCUACGAGGGUACGUGGACAACACUCUCCCCUCUCGUUGCUAUGUAUCACCUAGAUGGAUCUUCCGAGUGCGUAGGAAUUUUUUUGAAAUUAUUGCGUUCCCCAACAGUGGCAUCCGAGCCAGGUCUAUGCGUAGAUGUUAUAUGCACGAGUAGAACACAAAGAGUUGCGGGCGAUAAUAGUCAUACUGCUUACCAGCAUGUCAUACUUUGGUUCAGCGGUAUUGUUGGAUGAAGCGGCUCAGAACGACAUUACGCGUACGCUUACGCGAGAUUUGUUCUACCGACGUGCUUCGCACACAGGUGGCUAGUGGGUGUCUGUUUCUCCAACUUUAGUUGAAUCGAGUGUGACUAUGCCCGGUCCUUGUUGAAGGUUAAAACAACACACUUGACGAAAAAUUGUUGUGGUUAUGAUGCGUAGGUAAGAACGGUUCUUGCUAAGCCCGUAGCAGCCACGUAAAACUUGCAACAACAAAGUAGAGAACGUCUAACUUGUUUUUGCAGGGCAUGUUGUGAUGUGAUAUGGUCAAGACGUGAUGAUAUAUAAAUUGUUGUAUGAUAUGAUCAUGUUUUGUUAAAGUUAUCGCAACUGGCAGGAGCCUUAUGGUUGUCUCUUUAUUGCAUAAGAUGCAAGCGCCAUAUAAUUGCUUUACUUUAUCGCUAUGCAAUAGCAAUAGUUGCAAAAGCACUAGUUGGCGAGACAACCAUGUGACGACACGUUGAUAGAGAUCAAGAUGAUGGAGAUCAUGGUGUCAUGCCAGUGACGAUGGAGAUCAUGACGGUACUUUGGAGAUGGAGAUCAAAGGCACAUGAUAAUGAUGGCCAUAUCAUGUCACAUAUUUUGAUUGCAUGUGAUGUUUAUCUUUUAUGCAUCUUAUUUUGCUUAGUACGGCGGUAGCUUUAUAAGAUGAUCCCUCACUAAAUUUCAAGGUAUAAGUGUUCUCCCUGAGUAUGCACCGUUGCUACAGUUCUUCGUGCCAAGACACCACGUGAUGAUCGGGUGUGAUAAUCUCUACGUUCACAUACAACGGGUGCAAGCCAGUUUUGCACACGCAGAAUACUCGGGUUAAACUUGACGAGCCUAGCAUAUGCAGAUAUGGCCUUGGAACAUUGAGACCAAAAGGUCGAGCGUGAAUCAUAUAGUAGAUAUGAUCAACAUAGUGAUGUUCACCAUUGAAAACUACUCCAUCUCAUGUGAUGAUCGGACAUGGUUUAGUUGAUAUGGAACACGUGAUCACUUAGAUGAUUAGAGGGAUGUCUAUCUAAGUGGGAGUUCUUAAGUAAUAUGAUUAAUUGAACUUUAAUUUAUUAUGAACUUAGUCCUGAUAGUAUUUGCAAAUCUAUGUUGUAGCUCAAUAGCUCGCGAUGUAGGUCCUCGUUUAUUUUUGAUAUGUUCCUAGAGAAAACCAAGUUGAAAGAUGUUAGUAGCAAUGAUGUGGACUUGGUCCGUGAUCUGAGGAUUAUCCUCAUUGCUACACAGAAGAAUUAUGUCCUUGAUGCACCGCUAGGUGACAAAACUAUUGCAGGAGCAGAUGCAGACGUUAUGAACAUUUGACAAGCUCGGUAUGAUGACUACUUGAUAGUUUAGUGCACCAUGCUUUACAUCUUAGAACCGGGACUUCAAAAAUGUUUUGAACGCCACGGAGCAUAUAAGAUGUUCCAAAAGUUAAAAUUGGUAUCUCAUACUCAUGCCCGUGUCAAGAGGUAUGAGACCUCUGACAGUACUUUGCCUACAAGAUGGAGGAGAAUAGCUCAACGAGUGAGCAUGUGCUCAGAAUGUCUGAGUACUACAAUCACUUGAAUCAAGGGGAGUUAAUCUUCCCGAUAAGAUAGUGAUUGACAGAGUUCUCUAGUCACUAUCACCAAGUUACUAGAACUUCAUGAUGAACUAUAAUAUGCAAGGGAUAAUGGAAACGAUUCCCAAGCUCUUCGCGAUGCUGAAACCGGCGAAGGUAGAAAUCAAGAAAAAGCAUCAAGUGUUGAUGGUUGACAAGACCACUAGUUUCAAGUAAAAGGGCAAGGGAAAGAAAGGGAACUUCAAGAAGAAUGGCAAGCAAGUUUCCACUCCCAUGAAGAGGCCCAAAUCUAGACCCAAGCCUGAAACUGAGUGCUUCUACUGCAAAGGAAAUGGUCACUGGAAGUGGAACUGCCCUAGAUACUUGGCGGAUAAGAAGGAUGGCAUAGUGAACAAAGGUAUAUUGGAUAUACAUGUUAUUGAUGUGUACUUUACUAGUGUUUAUAGCAACCUCUCGGUAUUUGAUACUGGUUCAGUUGCUAAGAGUAGUAAAUCGAAACGGGAGUUGCAAAAUAAACAGAGACUAGUUAAGGGAGAGGUGAUGAUGUGUGUUGGAAGUGAUUCCAAGGUUGAUAAGAUCACCAUCGCACACUCCCUUUACCUUCGGGAUUAGUGUUGAACCUAAAAUAAAUGUUAUUUGGUGUUUGCGUUGAGCAUGAAUAUGAUUGGAUCAUGUUUGUUGCAAUACGGUUAUUCAUUUAAGUCAAAGAAUAAUUGUUGUUCUAUUUACAUGAAUAAAACCUUCUAUGGUCAUACAGUCAAUGUAAAUGGUUUAUUGAAUCUCGAUCGUAGUGAUACACAUAUUCAUAAUAUUGAAGCCAAAAGAUGCAAAGUUAAUAAUGAUAGUGCAACUUAUUUGUGGCACUCCCGUUUAGGUCAUAUUGGUGUAAAGUGCAUGAAGAAACUCCAUGCUGGUGGGCUUUUGGAAUCACUUGAUUAUGAAUCACUUGAUGCUUGCGAACCAUGCCUCAUGGGCAAGAUGACUAAGACUCUGUUCUCCGGAACAAUGGAGCGAGCAACUGACUUAUUGGAAAUAAUACAUACUGAUGUAUGCGGUCCGAUGAGUGUUGAGGCUCGUGGUAGGUAUCGUUAUUUUCUGACCUUCAUAGAUGAUUUGAGCAGAUAUGGGUAUAUCUACUUGAUGAAACAUAAGUCCGAAACAUUUGACAAGUUCAAAGAAUUUUAGAAUAAAGUGAAAAAUCAUCGUAACAAGAAAAUAAAGUUUCUACGAUCUGAUCGCGGAGACGAAUAUUUGAGUUACGAUUUUGGUCUUCAAUUAAAACAAUGUGGAAUAGUUUCACAAACUCAUGCCACCUGGAACACCACAGCAUAAUGGUGUGUCCGAACGUCACAACCGUACUUUAUUGGAUAUAGUGCAAUCUAUGAUGUCUCUUACCGAUUUACCACUAUCGUUUUGGGGUUAUGCAUUAGAGACAGCUACAUUCAUGUUAAAUGGGGCACCAUCUAAUCCGUUGAGACGACACCGUAUGAACUAUGGUUUGGCUAGAAACAUAAGCUGUCGAUUCUUAAAGUUUGGGGUUGCGAUGCUUAUGUGCAAAAGUUUCAACCUGAUAAGCUUGAACUCAAAUCGGAGAAGUGCGUCUUCAUAGGAUACCCAAAAGAAAAUAUCGGGUACACCUUCUAUCACAGAUCCGAAGGCAAGAUCUUUGUUGCUAAGAAUGGAUUCUUUCUAGAGAAGAAGUUUCUCUCGAAAGAAGUGAGUGGGAGGAAAGUAGAACUUGAUGAGGUAAUUGUACCUUCUCCCGAAUUGGAAAGUAAUUCAUCACAGAAAUCAGUUCCAGUGAUGCCUACACCAAUUAGUGAGGAAGUUAAUGAUGAUGAUCAUGAAACUUCAUAUCAAUUUACUACCGAACCUCGUAGGUCAACCAGAGUACGUUCCGCACCAGAGUGGUACGGUAAUCUGGUUCUGGAAGUCAUGUUACUAGACCAUGACGAACCUACGAACUAUGAGGAAGUGAUGAUGAGCCCAGAUUCCGCAAAAUGGUUUAAGGCCAUGAAAUCUGAGAUAUGAUCCAUGUAUGAAAACAAAGUAUGGACUUUGGUGGAAUUGCCCGAUGAUCGGCAAGCCAUUGAGAAUAAAUGGAUCUUCAAGAGGAAGACGGACGUUGAUGGUAGUGUUACUAUCUACAAAGCUUGACUUGUCACGAAAGUUUUUCGACAAGUUCAAGGUGUUGACUACGAUGAGUUUUUCUCACUUGUAGCGAUGCUUAAGUCUGUCCGAAUCAUGUUAGCAAUUGCCGCAUUUUAUGAAAUCUGGCAAAUGGAUAAACAAAACUGCAUUCCUUAAUGGGUUUAUUAAAGAAGAGUUGUAUAUGAUGCAACCAGAAGGUUUUGUCAAUCCUAAAGGUGCUAACAAAAUAUGCAAGCUCCAGCGAUCCAUCUAUGGACUAGUGCAAGCAACUCGGAGUUGGAAUAUACGCUUUGAUAAGUUGAUCAAAGCAUAUUGUUUUAUACAGACUUGCAGUGAAGCCUGUAUUUACAAGAAAGUGAGUGGGAGCACUACAGCCUUUCUGAUAAGUAUAUGUGAAUGACAUAUUGUCGAUCGGAAAUGAUGUAGAAUUUUCUGGAAAGCAUAAAGGAGUGUUUGAAAGGAUUUUUUCAAAGAAAGACCUGGGUGAAGCUGCUUACAUAUUGAGCAUCAAGAUCUAUAGAGAUAGAUCAGGACGCUUGAUAAGUUUUUUCAAUGAGUACAUACCUUGACAAGUUUUUGAAGUAGUUCAAAAUGGAACAGUCAAAGAAAGAGUUCUUGCCUGUGUUGCAAGGUGUGAAGUUGAGUAAGACUCAAAGCCCGACCACGGCAGAAGAUAGAGAGAGAAUGAAAGUCAUUCCCUAUGCCUUAGCCAUAGGUUCUAUAAAGUAUGCCAUGCUAUGUACCAGUCCUAUUGUAUACCCUGCCCUGAGUUUGGCAAGGGGGUACAAUUUUGAUCUAGGAGUAGACCACUAGACAGCGGUCAAAAUUAUCCUUAGAGGACUAAGGAAAUAUUUCUCGGUUAUGGAGGUGAUAAAGAGUUCGUCGUAAAGAGUUACGUCGAUGCAAUCUUUGACACCGAUCUGGAUGACUCUAAGUCACAAUCCGAAUACAUAUUUAAAGUGAGAGCAAUUAGCUAAAGUAGCUCCAUGGAGAGCAUUGUAGACAUAGAAAUUUGCAAAAUACAUACAGAUCUGAAUUUGGCAGACCCGUUGACUAAACUUUUCUCACAAGCAAAACAUGAUCACACCUUAGUACUCUUUGGGUUUAAUCACAUGGCGAUGUGAACUAGAUUACUGACUCUAGUAAACACUUUGAGUGUUGGUCACAUGGCGAUGUGAACUAUGGGUGUUAAUCACAUGGUGAUGUGAACUAUUGGUGUUAAAUCACAUAGCGAUGUGAACUAGAUUAUUGACUCUAGUGCAAGUGGGAGACUGAAGGAAAUAUGCCCUAGAGGCAAUAAUAAAGUUAUUAUUUAUUUCCUUAUUUCAUGAUAAAUGUUUAUUAUUCAUGCUAGAAUUGUAUUAACCGGAAACUUAGUACAUGUGUGAAUACAUAGACAAACAGAUUGUCACUAGUAUGCCUCUACUUGACUAGCUCGUUGAUCAAAGAUGGUUAAGUUUCCUAGCCAUAGAUAUGUGUUUUCAUUUGAUGAACGGGAUCACAUCACUAGAGAAUGAUGUGAUGGACAAGACCCAUUCAUUAGCUUAGCAUUAUGAUCGUUUCAGUUUCAUUGCUACUGCUUUCUUCAUGACUUAUACAUGUUCUUCUGACUAUGAGAUUAUGCAACUCCCGAAUACCGGAGGAACACCUUGUGGGCUAUCAAACGUCACAACCUAACUGGGUGAUUAUAAAGACGCUCUACAGGUGUCUCCGAAGGUGUUUGUUGGGUUGGCAUAGAUCGAGAUUAGGAUUUGUCACUCCGUGUAUCGGAGAGGUACCUCUGGGCCCUCUCGGUAAUGCACAUCACUAUAAUCCUUGCAAGCAAUGUGACUAAUGAGUUAGUUGCGGGAUGAUGCAUUACGGAACGAGUAAAGAGACUUGUCGGUAACGAGAUUGAACUAGGUAUGAUGAUACCGACGAUCGAAUCUCGGGCAAGUAACAUACCGAUGACAAAGGGAACAAUGUAUGUUGUUAUGCGGUUUGACCGAUAAAGAUCUUCGUAGAAUAUGUAGGAGCCAAUAUGAGCAUCCAGGUUCUGCUAUUGGUUAUUGGCCGGAGAUGAGUCUCGGUCAUGUCUACACAGUUCUCGAACCCGUAGGGUCCGCACGCUUAACAUUCGAUGACGAUCGAUAUUAUGAGUUUAUGUGUUUUGAUGUACCGAAGGUUGUUCGGAGUCCCGGACGAGAUCACGGACAUGACGAGGAGUCUCGAAAUGGUCGAGACAUAAAGAUUGAUAUAUUGGAAGGUUAUAUUCGGACACCGGAAAGGUUCCGGGGUUCACCGGAUAAAUACCGGAGUACCGGGGAGUUACCGGAACCCCCCGGGGGGUCAAUGGGCCUUCAUGGGCCUUAGUGGAAAUAGAGGGCAGCAAGGGAGCUGUGGGGCGCACCCCCCUAGGUCCAAACCGAAUUGGUUUAGGGCUUGGGGGGGCGGCCCCCUCUAUCCUUCUCCCCUCCUCCUCUUUCCUCCCCCCCCCCUAGUUGGACUAGGAAAGGGGGAACCUACUCCUAGUAGGAGUAGGAUUCCCCCCUUGGGGCGCACCCUAUGAGGCCGCCGGCCCCCUCCCCUUGCUCCUUUAUAUACGGGGGCAGGGGACACCCUAGAACACACAAGUUGACAGUUGUCUUAGCCGUGUGCGGUGCCCCCCUCCACAGAUUUCCACCUCCGUCAUAUCGUUGCAGUGCUUAGGCGAAGCCCUGCACCGGUAGCUUCAUCAUCACCGUCACCACGCCGUCGUGAUGAAACUCUCCCUCGACCUCAGCUAGAUCUAGAGUUCGCGGGACGUCACUGAGCUGAACAUGUGUAGAUCGCGGAGGUGUCGUACCUUCGGUGCUAGGAUCGGUCGGAUCGUGAAGACGUAUGACUACAUCAACCGUGUUGUAAUAACGCUUCCGCUUUCGGUCUACAAGGGUACGUGGACAACACUCUCCCCUCUCGUUGCUAUGCAUCACCUAGAUGGAUCUUCCGUGUGCGUAGGAUUUUUUUUGAAAUUACUGCGUUCCCCAACAGGAUGUUGUAGUGAAAGUGAGAAGCAUCUUACAUUGGAUUAACCCAAUUGAUGAGGUGAAGCUUAUUGGGAGGUAUGACGUUGGAGUGGGAGUAAAGUCCCAAUUAAAGAGUAUGCCCAUCACCUUCGAAUUGCAUUGGAAUGUGUACAAGGAUAAAGUUGAGGGAUCACAAGACAAGUCACUUGAAUUAUUUGCCACAAAGGUUGAAGUUCCUCAGCUACAACUCAACUUGAACCAGAAUGUGUCCUCCCCAAUACAUGAUAGUAGGUUCAAGGUGUAUGUCCACAAUUCUUCUAGCCAACCACCAAGUAGCCAACCAAAUGAAGAGGAGAUCAAUGAUAGAGCCAUAGUAGUUCGUGGUGAUGCUAUUGCUCAUGUUUAUGAUGAUGCUAUUGCUCAUGUUGAUGAAGAUGCUACUACUAGUGUUGAUGAUCAUGUUAUUGCUCAAGAUGAUGCUUACGCAGAAGAAGAAGAAUAGAUUCAUUACAAUCCCACUGGUGACUUGGAUGUCAUUGUGUAGCAACAAAACAUGGACCGUAAUCCAACGCAUUAUCGGCAUCUUGUUGGGAGUGUUGUCUAUCUAGCUGUCACUUCUUCAGAUAUCUCUUAUCCAGUCCAUAUUUUGAGUCAGUUUGUCUCUGCUCUCACUUUGAUUCACUAUAGUCACCUCCUUCGUGUUCUCUAAUAUCAACGUAGCACGAUCUCUCACCGUCUAUUCUUUCCCCUCUCCAGUUCAUUACAGCUUCAGGCCUAUUUGGAUGCUAUGUGGCUAGUGAACCCUCGGAUCUCCAUUCACUUUCUCCUUACUGUGUUUUUCUUGGUGGUUCUCUCAUUGUUUGGAAGACGAAGAAACAGAUUGCAUCUUCCCAUUUGAGUGCAGAGGCUGAGUUGCGAGCUAUGGCUCUUUUGACAGCAGAGGUGACUUGGUUACGGUGGUUAGUCCAGGGCUUUGGUGUUUCUGUCACUACACCUACUCCGCUAUUGUCUGACAAUAUUAGAUGCUAUUAGCAUUGCACACGGCCCUAUGAACCAUGAGCUCACGAAGCAUAUUAGCGUUGAUGCUUUCUUUGUGCACACUGGUGUGCAGGAUCAGGUUAUUGCUCUCCAGUAUGUGUCUUCCGAGUUACAGUUUGCGGAUUUCUUUACGAAGGCUUUGACUAGAGCGCAACAUGGUUUCUAUCUCUCCAAACUCGAUGUCACUACAUACUGGAGGGAGGUAGAGUACUAUGUAUAUAUAGCUAUGUAGCCUUUUUAUAUUAACCCCGUUGUAUAAAGGGUUUUUUGCAUAUUCCCUGCACUUGUACGUGUGUGUGUGUGUGUGUGUGUGUUUUGAACCUGAAAUAGUAGGAGCACCUCCUACUGCAAUUAAAUUAAAAGAAUAUAAGUCUCCAAAUUACAUGGUUAUUUACAAUCACCCCAUUUUGGGGUGAGGAGGGGUGGUGGUCUAGUACAAGGUGUCUAGUAGUGCAGGGAUGAGAUGUUUGUGUUUCUCCUUAACCCUAUAGGUUAGGAGAGAGUAGUCAUCUUUGAAUCUUUUCAGCCAGGAGUCUCUGGAUGGUGCUAUCCUUCUGAAAUGUUUGUUAUUUCGUUACUUCCAAAUGCUCCAGGCUGCUAGGAGAAAAGCUUUCAUAAACAGCGGCCGGGCCCAUGUCUCCUUGGCAAUCACAAUAUUUUCCAGUCGGGUCCCUCCUUGUUGCCAUGAUAAGCUCAGGCUGGCCCAGCAGAGUUGGCUGAAAUGGCAUUCGAAGAACAAAUGCUCAAUGGUCUCAUCAAUGUGCUGGCCACACAGGAUGCAAUCAUGAUCAUCUCCAAUGUUGUAGUGUCUUCUCCUAAGCAUGUUUCUUGUGUUUAAGCGAUCAGAGAGAAGCAGCCAUCCAAAUACUUUGAUCUUCAUGGUUAAUUUAGAUUUCCACAACCAUCGAAAGGAUUGAUGCGCAACUGUGUCUCUGAAGUAGAAGGAGUAGUAUUUAUGUGUCGUGAAGUUGGCAGACCCCCAAACAUGUCCACUGGUCAUGAUCUAGGUGGCUAUCGGAGAGGGUUACUGUUGCGGUGACCAAUUGCAUCUGCCUGACCUCUGCAUGCGCUUGAGGAGAUAGUGGUAGAUGGAACGCCUCUCCAAGAGACGUGAUGCUCAAGAAAUCCCGAACCGAUAUAUCUUCGUUAUUUGAGAAGGAAAAUGCUCUCGGGUGGGUUUCUGAUAAAAUUUGUUCUCCCCAAAGAUCUUUCCAAAAUAGCACCGUGUCUCCACGAAGUAUUUGUGCUUGUGUGAUCCCUCGGAAUAUGGGCAUUAGAUUGGAGACAUCUCUCCACCAGAAUGAGCCGCAAACAUCCAUGGCAUGAGGUAUCUUAUUUUCAUAGUAUGUGGUCCAGAUGAGCUCCACCCAAGGCAAAUCAAAGUGGUUGUAAAAUUUAUGUAGAUACUUCAAGAGGAGCGCAUCCCCUUGAAUUCUAACAGUGGCCCCAUGGGAAUACAAGUUGGAUAUUCCUAACAGUGGCAUCAGCCCUGCUCGGGAGUUGCUCUGGGCUGGACUUCUGCGUCGUUGUGGUGAGACUUACAGUGGUGCGGAACUUGGCGGCGGUGCGGUAGGGUAGCAUGGUGGUGGACAUGAUUUGAGAAAGAUUUGGUCAGAUGCUCAGAGGUGGACCACAAUGUCUCGUUGUGCGUGUAAGUGGGCAUGCGGCGAUGGGACUGGGCGCGGAGGGCGAUGCUGGACUAAGGGCGGAGGUUGUGGUGGCGGUAUGACGUCACGCCCCAGCGUUCUCGGGCAUGUGGUUCCGGUGUUGCGGCGUGUGGGCUCCCUUCACUGACACAAGGCAUCUUGGCACUGAUGUGUCGUCUUUCAGAGCGGCGCCGAUGACCACAAGCAUGACAUCACACGAACUCGUCUGAGCCAAGCCAGUAGGCUAUGCCGGAGCUUGCUCGACAGCAGGCAAUGACAGUCAUCGAGGUGUGCCCCCGCCAGUCCAUGGGAUUGAGUGGGGAUCUAGGCAUGGACGCCUCCUAUUGUGGAGGCGUGGGCGCGGACUUGAUGGCUGAUGUCAGGCUAGGAGUGGAAGGAGAUGCCUUUUGUUCUUCCUAUCGUGGUUGGUGUGCGGAGAUGUGGACAGUUGUGGUGGGGCCUCGGGUCUCGGAUGCCGGUGUGGCGGUCCACAUGGUUGGAUUUCGGCGGGCGUCAUAGCGUCGGUGGUAACUAUGUCGCUUGGCCGUGUGGGCGACGAGGGGUGUAGUGGCGGGUGGCUUGGUCUUCUCUGUUGCUGGUAGUUGCGGCGUCCAGAUCCGGAUCUAGAGGUAUGUGCUCGUCGCGGUUGUCUUAGUUGUCUUAUGGUGGCAUGGGUGAGCUGCAAAGUGAGAGCUUUGCGCUUUGCCGCCGACGGUGGCAACGCCCGUCGGUGCCGCUCUCCUCUUGAGGACGUCGUUGUAGAUCUCCUCUUCAUGUCAGGUUCCGGUGAAUACCCUUGUCCGCCUCGGACUCGAUAGCGGCGACGUUUAGCGUUGUUUAUUUUCAGAGAGCGUUGUUGUGGAGCUUAGGUAUCCUAAGUCGUGUCGUUAUGUUGUAUUCAGAACGACCUGUGGUAUAUCUCGGCAAUGUAGUCGCGUGUAUUUUUCUUGUUCAACUAUCCCGAGAUUUGCUUCGUAUGAGAGCUUUCAUUCUAACUUGCAUCGUUUGGUCACGUACGGUUUGUGUUUUAUCAACAGAGCGGGGCGUGCUUGUUUCGUGAAGUUGUGUCGAAGGGUGGGCAGGCACAAAAGGAGUGGCAUCUCUACUUCUGCACAUGUAUUUGCAUAGGUCAGGUGAUUUUAGUGUAAAGAAGGAUUUCUGGUCUACAAAUUGGAUUGGUUCAGUUAAUUAAGCCAAAAAAGCCGCCCACUAGGUCGUAUUAAACUCUAUCAACGCAAGACAUCGACAGCUUCCUCAGGCUGUUUAACUUGAUGGCCGGCCAGAUUUUUCUGAAGCCCAGUUGGCCGGCCAGAUUCGUUCCGGCAUCUGUCUGGCUGCUGCCCCUCCGUCCAGACGACAGUUCCAUGCUGCUGCUGCGCUAACAGGUACACACGAGAAUGCAGAUUUGGUUCCAGUAUUUGUCUGGCUGCUGCCUCUCUACGUCCACACGACAGUCCCAGGCUGCUGCUGCGCUAUCAGGAUAUGCAAGAAUACAGUGUACAAACAGGACCAUUUCUUCCCGACGGAACGAAGCUGCGUAGCAAGCAAAGGAACUCCAGGCAAUCAUCAUAAGAAGAGAGUCAGGACGAACAAAACGCCAAGGGAAUUUCAAUCUAGGCCAUAUGCCUCGGUUUUUCAAAAUAUUUGAAAAUAGAUGAAAUCAAGCGUAGUCGUGGGGGUUCUCGCCUCUUUCUGCAACAGGAUGUUUCCACGGAAGGAAACUUGGCGCUCUGGGGUGCGACCGUGCGAGCACACCCUAUAUGUGCCAAAUAAUUUAAUAAUUGCAAAAAAAAUUUAAAAAAUCAUAUUUUUUAAUCAAAUAUGAUCAAGUAUGUAUUUGUAUAAAGAAAUUGGUCAAGGAAUGAUUCGCAUUGACUAGGAAAAAACAAAUUUAGUACGACAAAGUAGCAUGAAUAGUAUUUGUAUAGUGUUUCGCUUUUUUUCGCUCAGAAUAUUGUGAAAGUUAUUCCUUGGCGAAUCUAUUUAUAUGAGUACAACAUUUGAUCAUAUUUGAUUUCAGAAAAGAUUUGGAUUUUUUUAUUUUUUUAUAAUUACUAAAUAGUUUUCGCAUAUAGGGCGCACUCGGGGUUGACGCAAGGAAGCAAGGGUAAAAUCAUCAACAAGCAAAGGACAAGACCGAUGACUAAGUCGACUUCUUCUACUUCACUAUCUUCUAUACAAGUUUAAAAAAAGAGUAAGAUUCAUUUUCCUGCCAACGGACACAGUUCUGCCCCGCCCUUCGUCCAACCUCCCGUUUCACUCGUCAAGCCCUCCCCAACCCGCCACUCUCCCACGUGGUUAUAUCAUGUAAAAAAACCACAAAACACUUCGGAGCCUGCCCAACCGAACUCUCCAUGACUCUCUUCACACUAGCACUCCAUAAAACAUAACCUUAUUCCCUCCUAAUUUAGUCGUUUCCGCAGUCAACAAUGCAUUCGGCACCGCCACCCACUCUCCCACAUCUAGCGAGUGAUAGGAGAGCCGACGUCCUCCGGUACCAACGCCACGCACUCGCGCUCGCCAACUAACGCCACACUAGUGAGCCACCUACGCGGAUGAUCCAGCGAUUCGACACUGCUGCCUCGAGCUACUUCGCCGACGACAUCGAGGAGGGUGUGGAGCUCCUAGCCUCCCUAGGCCGCCACCAUGGGGCCCGUCUCGUUGGGACACCACAGAGUCGUCCCGGCGAGCGCCGUCCUCACUACCAUUCCUCUGCCGCUACCCACACCCUGUGUCACCCACAUCAAUUGCCCUACGUAGUCUGUUCAUGCCCUGAAAUGGAACCACAUUCAAUCUUAUCAUGUAUAUGUGCAGUAAUCUCAAAAUUAUACUNNNNNNNNNNNNNNNNNNNNNNNNNNNNNNNNNNNNNNNNNNNNNNNNNNNNNNNNNNNNNNNNNNNNNNNNNNNNNNNNNNNNNNNNNNNNNNNNNNNNNNNNNNNNNNNNNNNNNNNNNNNNNNNNNNNNNNNNNNNNNNNNNNNNNNNNNNNNNNNNNNNNNNNNNNNNNNNNNNNNNNNNNNNNNNNNNNNNNNNNNNNNNNNNNNNNNNNNNNNNNNNNNNNNNNNNNNNNNNNNNNNNCGCUGGAGGGGCCCAACGUGUUCAUCAUCCUAGCCCUGUGUUCAGGAAGGCCGAGAUGAACAAGGACUACCUUUUCAAGAUCACUUGCAUGCCUCAGUUUUUUCGUCCCCCCUCUAUCUACCAUUCUUCAUUCCAUUGAUUGAUUAUUGUUACUGUGAACAUGUUAGAUAAUAUUUAUGGAUAUUUCAUCCUUCUAACCAUGAUCCAUGUUGGUUAAUUUCUCAAGCAGGUAUUUAGGUCUGUGAGGCGAAACAAAAUGAGUUCUACAAUUAGUUUUCUUAUGGAUGGGUGAGAUCUUUUUUCCCUUUUCAUUAUUACAUGUUUGUGGCGCUUGCUUUGAUGUUGAUAAUGACAUGCUUCAAUUCCAAGUUACAUGAUUGUUCUUGAUUGUACGUUUCGGAAAAAAGAGUUAUUGGUUUAUUUUGAAGUGACAAAAACGGACUCAUCUCUUCCUAUCAGUCAGUCAUUUGGGUUAGUUGGCUGAUAUGUAUAUCUUCUCAUACAUGACACCCAAUUUUCAGGAAUGUUGUUCUAUAUGCAAUACAUCAAAGAGCCAAUGUAAAGAAGUCAAUAUUCAAGAAUGAGCAUGAAUCUAAACUGAUGUUGUUUGUGAUUACAUUGAUGAUAUAUACCUCAUAUAUGUUUAUUACUUAAGGAUUGUUCUUUUGUAUUUCAUUUGCUAGGCUCACUUCAAUUUCUACUAAGUUACAGGAAAGCACAGUUGCACAUGUAUUUCAUUUUCUCUACUACUUAACAAAAGAGUAAGGUUAUUUUCCUGCCAAAAACUGUGUUCUGCCCUCCCCUUCGUCCAACCUCCCAUUUUUCCAUCAACCCUCUCUGACCUGUCGCUCUCCCACGUGGUUUUCUCCUGCAAAAAAACCCACAAAAACACUCUGGAGCAUGCCCGACCGGACUCUACAUGACUCUCUCCGCACAUGCGCUCCAAUCCUAACCUUAUUCCCUCUGAGUUUAGCCUCCACGGUGAACAACACAUUCAGCACUGGCACCCCCUCUCUCACAUAUCGGGGGCGAUAGGGGAGUCUGCAUUCUCUAGCGUUGAUGUUUCUUAUUCACCCCCGCCAACAGAUGCCGCACCAAUAAGGCACCGACUCGAGGCCGCCUCCACGGGACUGGUCCUCACUACUUAUGGCUUCUUGCCAUUAGCCAUACCCGGUGUCAAUUGCAUCAAUUGCCCCACGAUGGUCUAUUUGUACCCCAAAAUGCAACCGCGUUCACUCCUCUCAUGUAUAUGUGUACUUGUGUAGUAGUCUCAAAAAUGUGUUGUAGGUGAAGGGAUUCAUGGAUUGCGACCAGCUCGGGAGGGGGGACGCUGCAGGGUCCCGACAUGUUCAUCAUCCCGUCCGUGGUCUUUAGGAAGUCCGGCAUGACCAAGUCCCCCCUCUAUCUAUGAUUAUUUAUUCCAUGGACUGGUUAUUUUUGCUGCGUACAUGUUAGAUGAUAACUAUUGAUAUUUCCUCCUGCUAACCAUGCUCCAUGUUGGUUAAUUUCUCAAGCAAGUAUUUAGGUUUGUGAAGAAGAACAAAAUGAGUUCUACAAUUUUCUUUCUUAUGGACGAGUGAGUUCUUUUUACCCUUUCUGUUAUUACAUGUUUGCGGUGCUUGCUUUGAUGUCAAUAAUGAUACCCUUCAAUCCCAAUUUACAUGAUACUUCUUCAUUUAUUUUGAGGUGAGAAAACAAAUUCCUCUUCAUAUCAAAUCAGUCUUUUGGGAUAGUUAUUUGGUAGGUAUAACUUUUUUUGCGGAAAUAACUUCCGAUCUAUUCAUCAAUUGUCAAGGUAGUACAAAGGACACCAGAAGUAAAAAAUACAUCUAGGUCCGUAGACCACCUAGCGAUGAUUACUUGCACUGGAGCGAGCUGAAGGCAUGCCGCCGUCUUCGCCCCUCCCUCAUUGGAGCCGGGCAAACCUUGUUGUAGUAGAUAGUCGGAAAGUCGUCAUGCUAAGGCCCCAUAGGACCAGCGCACCAGAACAGCAUCCGCCGCCGAUGAAGAGAAGCGUAGAUCAGAAGGAUCCAAUCUGUAGACGCAUGAACACAGACGGACGAAGAUAAGAUCCACAUGGAUCCACCGAAGACAAACACCGACCGAAUCCCAUAAGAUUCGCAGGAGACAAACCUCCACACGCCCUCCAACGAUGAUAGAAACACCAUUGAAACGGGUACAAGGUGGGGAGAACCUUAUUCCAUCAACAGAGAGCCGCCGCCUCGCCUCUCUGAGCAGGACACAAACCCUACAAAACUCAAAAGUGUAUGAAAAUCCGGCGGCAAGGGCCGGGAUCCACCAUGCCUCCAUAGCCCUAAGACCAUAGAAGACGAGGUAGAUCGGCGGCAGCACCGACGGGAGGCACAAGAAACCCUAGCCAAGGGGUCCUCUUUUCUUCCGUGGAAGAAAGAAAACUAUUAGCAAAGGCACGUAUUCCUUUUGAUAGGUAUAACUUAACAUACACGACAACUCAUUUUGAGGAAUGUUCUUCUGUAUGCAAUACAUCAAUGAGACAAUGUUAAUAAGUCAAUAUUCGAGAUUGAGUAUGAAUCUAAACCGAUGUUGUUUUGAUUACGUUGAGGGAUACAUACCUGAUAUAUGUUUAUUAUCUUCAAAAAUGUUCUUUUGUAUUUCAUUUGCAAGGCUCACAUCAAUUUUAUCUAAGUUACUGGAAAGCAUAGUUGCACAUGUAUUUCAUUUGCCAGGCUACCACCAAUUUCUUCUAAGUUAGAGGAAACCAUAGUUGCAUCUGGGCAGUGGCGAAUUAGAGAUUUUAUUGAUCUGUGGCUCGAUUACCUUCAUAAUCUUCUUAUGGUAGUAUGUUAAAAAAUACGUCUUGUCAAUUGGUGCUCAUUAAGGAGCCAUGGAACCAUAUUAAUAUGGUAUCUUAAAUAUUUUGUUACAUUGUUUGUUAUACUGUAACAUCCCGAUUUUUUGGAUUGUUUAGGAAACAGUUUUCACAAAAGUAGGGUCAGAAAAUUUUGUUUGUUAUUUAUUAAUAAAAGCUUAAAUUGAGUUUUUGUAAAUUUGGAGUAUGUAAUUUGGACUAAUGCCAACUAAAAUUAAAUUUGAGUAUUUCUCUUUUCUUUUAGCGGGGUUUUAUUUUUCGUCUUCAGCAUAUUUAAAUAUGUGGGUCUGCAUUUUCUUGGGUUUCUCUAUUCAUUUGAUAUUUGUUUGAGCUUCUAAUAAUGCUCUGUAAUUUCCUAAAAGGAAAGUCAAUUUCUUUUCCAUCUGUCAAACACCAGAUAGAAUUUUCAAGUCCUAAUCCGUCUCUUUCUUUUCUGUGUGUAUCUUAUUUUCUCUUGUCCACCAAAUAGCCCAAUUCCAGGGCACCCUAUCUCGCCUUCAGCUAGACGGGAGGAACCCCUCGCUGAAGUGUGACUCGAUUGGGCCGGCCCGGGCGUGCAGGAACAUUCAGCCUCGUGGUUUUUUACAUUUUUUGUUUUUGUUUUUUGCUUUCUGUUUUUAUGUUUGUUUAUACUUCCAAAUAUACUAAAAAUUUAUAUCACAAAAAUAACUCUAAAAUUUGAGAAAUGUUAAAUGUGUAUAAAUAAAAUGUUUAUUCACGUAUACAAAAAUUUUGUUUGAAACAAUUUAUUCCUGUACUUAAAAAAUGUUUAUCAAGUAUUUGAAAAAAUGGUGAACAAGUGUUUGAAAAAUGUUAAUUAGGCAUUUGGAAAAUGUUAAAUGUGCAUAGAAAAAUUUUUGACCAUGUGUUUGAAAAAAGAUGAUUUUUUUAUCAUGUAUGUAAAAAUGUUAAUCAAGCAAUUAAAAAAAUGUUGAAAAAGUAUUUUCAAAUAAUCAAGCAUUUGAAGAAUGUUAAAUGUGUACAGAAAAAAUGAUGUCCAUUUAUUUAAAAUGAUGAAUUGUUUUACCAUGUAUGUAAAAAUGAUAAUAAAAUAUUUAAAAAAUGUUGAAAAAGUAUUUUCAAAUUUUUAACCAAGCAUUUACAAAAAUCUUGAACAAUUAUUUAAAUAAUGUUAAUCAAGCAUUUGGAAAAUGUUAAAUAUGUACUCCCUCCACACGAAAAAGCUUCUCCCUCAAAUGGAUGUAUCUAGCAUCAAGUUAGUGCUAGAUACAUCCAUUUGAGAGACAAGCUUGGGACAAGCUUUUUUGGACGGAGGGGGUAUAGUAAAAAUGUUUAUCAUGUAUUAAAAAUAUGAUGAAAAAUUGGAUCAUGUAUACACAAGUAUAUAUGAAAAAAUUGAAAAAUAUUAUUCAAACAUUUAAAUUUUUUAGAAGUGUAUAGAGAAAAUGUUGAUCAUGUGUUAAAAAUAUUAGUCUUGUAUUUGAAAAAUGUUAAUCAAGAAUUUGUAAAUGUUCAAAAGUUUUUAUAGAGAAAAUGUUAAUGGUGUAUUCAACAAAAUGUUAAUCUUGUAUUUGAAUAUGUGUACUGAAAAAAAUAUUGACCAUGUAUUAAAAAUGGUAAAUUUGUACUAGACAAAUGUUAAACAUGUAUUAGAGAUAUGUGUUUGAAAUAUACAGAAAAUGUAGAGUGAAAAUCAAAAGAAAUGUAUGAAAAAAAGAAAGAAAAAGGAAAAAAGGAGAAAAAUAGAAAAAACAAGAAAAGAAAGAAAAAAGGAAACAAAAAUCCGAUGAGAAGAGAGAAAGAAAGAAACAAAACCUAAGAAAAAAGAAAAAACCGAAUAAACAAAAAAUGAAAGAAAAAUGAAAGAAAAACAAUGGAAAAGAAAGAAAACAACAAAUAAAAACAGAGACAUAGCGGAGGAAAAACGGUGAAAAAAUAAAAUGAAAAAGACCUGAAAAAAGGAGAUGAACAUUGUGGAAACUCGGCUCAAUUCGACUUAAGUACUCCCACCCUUUCUAAUGUAUCAUCAACUCAUGCCAGGCGUAGUGACUAGCAGUGCCACCUAUUAAUUAGAAGUCAAGGGUACGAAUCCCCAUCACGUCCAUUUUAUUUUCUCUUUUACCUUAACCGUGUGUGCUAAUGGGCCGGCCUAAUUAUGGUUUACACUUCAGAGAGUGACCCUUCCAUCUCGUAUAAUGCGAGAUAUAGCUCUCGCGCCAAUUCCAUCUCUCGCUUUUAUUUUUAUUUUCUCUCUCUCUCUUUUCCUGGGCGCAACCCAACUCAUCUCUUUUUUUGGUUUAUUCCUCCAACCGAAUGGGCCUAGCUAAAAAAAUUCAUCAGUUUUGAAAAAAAAUUAUCAAAUUAGGAAAAAGUUCAUCAAUUUUUAAAAAGUUCAUCAAAUAAGAAAAAUGUUAACCGCUUAGAUAAAGAGUUCACUAUUUUUGAAAAAAUCCUCAAAUUCUAAAAACUUUGUGUAUUUUGAAUAAAAAAGGAAAAAAAGAAUAAAUAAAAUAAACCAAAAAUAUUUCGGGCAUUUAAGGAAACAAAAAGGAAAAUAAAACCAACAAGGAAAAGUUGCGCUUUAUUAUGGAUUGCAUUUUAAGAAUAAAGAAAAGGAAUCUAACACAUGAGGUUGGGUGGCCGACGUGGUUAGCACGUUCGGAGAAACAAAUGUGAGGACCGCGGUUCGAAUCACGGCUGCACAGUUUUUUGGCGUUUAAAACAGAGAAAAGGAUAGUAAAUGGGCUAGGUCGGAGUUGGGGUGUGUGCGCCAGGUUACAAAAUGAACUGGAAGGGACGCUUAAGGCGCCAAAUAGGAAACGCCCCUAUCGAGAGCCAAAUAGGAUUCCCCCAAAUGGAACCCAACGUUAUGCAACGCGCACCCCUCCUGUGUCGGGGUUCUUUAGUAGUCCAGCUCAUAACGGUACAUUGUUUCCUGGUUUGAUAUUGGUUUUGAGAAGUGCUGUCAGAUUUUUCUUUUGGUUUUAAUUGUUUUUCUAUUUUUUCUUAUUUUUAAUUAAUGAAUAUUUUUUAAAAAAUUAACAUCUUAAAAUUCAUUUGUUUCUUAAAAUUUUGAACAUUUUCAAAAUCUAUGAUAUUUCUGAACAUUUAUUUUUCAAAUUCUUGAAUAUUGUCAAACGCGUGACAUUUUUAUUUUGUAUUUUUUAUACCUUCCGAACAAUCUUCAAAAUUCAUGAUUUUUUUCAAAUUUUUAAUAUUUUAAAAAUUCACGAACUUUCUCAAACCUAUAAAAGAAAUGGAGAUGGUAGUGUUUUUACAGGCAACUGUUGGUUUCUCAAAGAAGCAGAGCAAAAGUAGACUAAGGCAUAAUCUAGUGGUCGAAAGGGGCUGAUACCUUUCCACACACCCAGGUACAUUCCAUGGUACUUGAAUUUUGGUUUUUUUGCACCAAUUAUAAUAUAGGGGCCCCCUUACAGUCAGGAAGAGGAAAAAAAGCAAGUGAAACUUGCGGCGAAGUAUGUGUAACAGUCGAGUGGUAGUGAUGGCUAUUGGGCCUAGCCCAUCCGAGCAAUUUAGCAGCAUUUGAUCGAUUAAUGUGUGAACUAGGAGAAGACUAACGAAGGAGCGCCUCUUUGCCGCAUUUUGUGACAAAUAUAUGCGUCUUCGCACAGAGCGCCCCUAUUGGGCCACCCCAUUGGGGUCAAACCCUUAGUGUAUGGUAGGGCACAAAAAUCCUAAAAAAAAGUAGUGUGCGAGCCAGGAUUCGGUCCGGAGAAUGUUUGUUGAGGUCGGAAAAUCGUUAGCCAAUCGAAUUGGCUAAUUGGUUGUGACAUAUGGGCAGCGGGAAAUAUAUAAAACAAAAGACAAGCAACGUAACUCAACACCACUCAAGGAUUUUAAGAAACACAUACAAUUGAUCAAAUUCCAAUUUCUUUCGAAAAUGCGAAUAAUUUUUGAAAACACGACCAAUCUUUAAAAAAAAUUGAACAAAAAAUUGAAAUUCCAAUUUUUUUUAAUUUGAAUAAAUUCUAAAAACACAAAAAAAAUUGAACCUCCAAUUUUUUUUUGAAAACAUGACCAAAUUUAUAAGUUCCGAACAAUUUUUGGAAACAUGAACAAAUUUGAAACCCUAAAUUUUUUUGAAAACACAAACUAAAUUUAAAAUUCCGAACAUUUUUUUUGAAAAUGUGAACAAUUGUUUAAAACCUGAACAAAAUUUUGUAACUCCAAACAUUUUUAGAUAUGAUUUUCUUUGCAUAUUCAGAAUAUUUUUUAACAUUGCGAACAAUUUUUUAAAAUGUGAACAAAAUUGUAAAAUUUUGAAAAAAAAUUAGAACGUGAACGAAAUUCCAAAACUCCAAACAUUUUUGAAAACAUGAAUAAAUUUUAAAGUUCCGUUCAUUUUUGGAAAUUCAGAACAAUUCAUAGAAAAUGUGAACAAAAUUUCGAAUUUCUCAACACCUUUUUGAAUUCUAAGAUUUGUUUUGAAAAAUAUCAACUUUUGAAAAUGCAAACGUUAUUUCAAAAAUAUGGGCCAACCCAAAGCCCUUUGAAAUAAUUUCCCUCGAAGUACUUGCUUUUUAUUUCCUUUCAUUGCUUUCUCGAGUUCGUGGGUUUCUUUCUCGAAGGUUUCAUUUGAUUUUCUUUCACUUUUUUUAUCUUGUUUUUCCUUUUUUCCCCUUAAAUUCGUGGAUGCUUCUAGAAUUUAUGAAUUUUUUCUUCAAUAGCAAUGAAACAUUUUUGCCUAAAUCGAUGAACCCUUUUUCAAAUUUGUGAGCAUUUUUUGAAACUGAUGAACUUUUGGUCAAAUUCAUGAACAUUUUUGUUCAAAAUCCAUGAUUUUUUUUUCAAAUUCAUGAACUUUUUUCACAAUCAAUGGACUUUUAAAAAAAUUGAUGAACCUUUCCAAUUUUAUUAAAAUUUGAAGAAAUAAUUAAUUUGUUCCAAUCGAUGAACUUUUUUUUGAAUAUAUGAACUUUUUUUGAGUUCGAUCAACUUUUUUAAUGCUGGUGAACUUUUUUUGCAUAAUUGAUGAAGUUUUUCAAUUCUGAUGAACAUUUUUAAAAACUACAUGAACUUUUUUAAUAUUUGAUGAACUUUAUUUAAUUGAUGUAAUUUUUUUAAAAUCCAUGAUUUUUAUGAAUUUAUGUAUUUUUUAUUAAUUCGUUUUUUUCUACAAAAUGUGAUGUAAUUUUUUAUUAAUUCGUUUUUUUCUACAAAAUGUGAUCUAGCGAACUAGGGCCUACGUGUGUUCGCCGGUGAUCUUCUCUAGCGCCUGAAGCGACGAAUAGGAGCUCCCAGCAGCAUUGCCACGGCCAGAAUAGAGAAGAGAAUCAAGAACAAGCAUAACAUAUCAUGACCUCCAGGAUAGAGUAGAGCACUAGUUUAAGUUUCCCAGGAUUCACACAUAUCUUUUUUCUGCUGACCAACAUAGCCCUUCGGCGAAUAACAAGAUCAAUCUACCAUCUAAUAUGAAUUGAUUUUCUCAAAAAACAAUCUACUAUGAAUUGAUUAGAUAGAGGCAUAUCCAUCUUGAUCAUAAUCUAUAGUAUCAUCCAUUCUGGUAUCGCCUAUCUACUUCAUCUAUCUUUUCAGGAAUCUUGCUAGGGUAUGCUACUAGAUCGUUUCUCUUCCCACUCAAUCUAGUUGAACCUUCAAGGGAAAACCUUUCAUAUCUGCACACACAAAAUUUUUGGUUGUUUGAUCAAGAGAGCAACUCAAGCUGCCAAGUAACCAAUUCAUCCCCUUUUUGUUAAUUGGCGCUCAAGGCACUCUUACCUGGGCCGACCCAUACCCUUUUAUUUUAUGUAAACUCCAAAAAUGGUGCAAACAGCCGGAUUCGAACUCACAAUGUCACCUUCAAUGGUGAGUGCACUAACCACCCGGCUAUCAAACCAGUUGUGAAACAAUUGUUGUUUAUUCCCUUUUAUUACUUUCUCCACUUCAUGGAUUUUUUUCUAGAAGUUUUUAUUCAGUUUUCUUUUGCCUUUUCCUUUUUCUUUUCCUUAAAUGCAUGGAUUCGUUUAGAAUUUAUGAACCUUUUCUUCAAAAUCAAUGAAACUUUUUUCAAAAAUCCAUGAACUUUCAUUCAAAUUCAUGACAUAUUUUUCAAAAUUGAUGAACUUUUAUUCAAGUUCAUGAACAUUUUUUUCCAAAAUCCAUGAGCUUUUAUUGAAAUUUGUGAGCUUUUUUCAAAAUUGAUGGAUUUUUUCAAAAUUGAUGUAUUUUACCAAUUUUAUAAAUAAAAUAAAAUUUGAUGAACUUUUAAAAAAUUGAUGAACUUUUUUCAAAAUCCUUGAACUUUUUUAAUUCAAUGAACUUUUUUUCAAUUCAGUGAAUUCUUUUAUGUUUAUGAACUAGUUUUCAAAAUUGAUGAACAUUUUUCUAUUUUGAUGAACUUUUUCUCGAAUUUGAUGAACUUUUUUUAAAAUUCAGUGAACUUUUUUGAAAUCGGUGAACUUUUUUUAUGUUCAUGAACUUUUUUUAAAAAUCCAUAAAUUUUUUGAAUUCAUAUUUUUUCAUAUUUUUGUGAUUUUAUAUUUUUGGCCAAAAUUCGGUCUAGCGGACCAGGAAGAAAAUGUGAAAUCUAAAUGGGCUGGUCCACCAGCAUCGACGCGUGGGCGCUAGGGAGCUUCCGUAGCGCGUGAAGCACUGAAUAGGAGCUCCCUGCCUCGGGUAUUGAUACAUUGUUUAAAAUACACACUGAACAAAGUUCUAAUAUACAAUGAACGUUUUUUCAUAUAUAAUGAACUUUUUUUAAUGUAGAGUGCACCUUUUUCUAAUAUAUCAUGAACUUUUCUCUAAUAUAUAUUGGACAUUUUUUGAAGUGGUGUUUGCGAAUUUGCAAAAGCAUUGAGAAAGCACAACGUUUAUUCAUGUUUUGGGGUGGCUAUCCUGACAUAUGGAUCUCAUCUUAGCAUAGACAAAGCUUCAUGCCGCAUUAAGUUUUGAAGUGGUGUGGCUUGGGGAAGACCAUAACGAGGGAAAUUUUGAGGAACAUGACACCGAACGUGUUGUGUAUACUGAUAUGGUGGUUAAUUCAUAUGAAUCAGUAGACUGUGGUGAUGGAGGGGACGUACUAGUAUGGAGGUGAUGAAAUGGUUGAAGUGUUGAAGAGAGAAAAGAUGAGUGAUCCAUGGAGACGUGACUAUUUGGCUGGAAGCCAGCUCUGAAUGACGUUUUUUCCGGCUGGAAGGGAUAUCAAACCUGGCAACAUCUUAGGGUGAGUUUGGUUCCUCUCAUUGGGUGGAACGUAAUGGGUCAGUUCUAUGAAGGUCCAUUCUCAUGUUUGGUUCUUCAAAGGUACCAGAAUCCACUGGUUCUAGGGAACGACAUAUUCACUGAUUAUUCGGAAUGAGGCAGUACCUCAAAAAUGAGCGGACCAUGCAGAACAAGCUCUCCUCUACUCGCACAACACAUUCCCUCUCUCGCACCUUCCCCUCUCUCAAUCUGAGCUGUGCCAGGCCAACCCACCUCCCUCCUUCCCACUGCCGUCUAUCCCUCGCCUCCCCAUCGUCUCCCCUCACCUCCCCAUCGCCUAUCCCUCUCCCAUGGUGGCUAGCAUCUCCCUCCCUUGUACUACGCUGCCUCUCCCUCUUCUCUUCCUCUCGAUCUGAAGAGGAGCAGAUGUGACUAGCGAGCGGUGAUACGUCUUCAACGUAUCUAUAAUUUUUUAUUGUUUCAUGUUGUUAUAUUAUCAUUCUUGGAUGUUUUACAAUCAUUUUAUAGCAACUUUAUAUCAUUUUUGGGACUAACCUAUUGACAUAGUGCCCCAUGCCCGUUGUUGUUUUUUGCUUGUUUUUUACUUCGCGUAAAAUCAAUACCAAACGGAGUCCAAACGCAGCGAAACUUUUUGGAGAAUUUUUCUAGGCCAGAAGACACAGGAUGGGCCAAAGAAGUACCAGAGGGUUGCCCCGAGGGGGGCACAACCCACCUCGGUGGCCUCCCGCACCGCCUCUUUGCUCCGUAAAUACCUCAAUAUUCCAGAAACCCUAGGGGAGUCGACGAAAAUCAAUUCCAGACGCCGCAAGUUCCAGAACCACCAGAUCCAAUCUAGACACCAUCACGGAGGGGUUCAUCCUCCUCAUUGGUGCCUCUCCGAUGAUGCGUGAGUAGUUCAUUGUAGACCUACGGGUCCGUAGUUAGUAGCUAGAUGGCCUCCUCUCUCUCUUUUGAUUCUCAAUACAAUGGUCUCUUGGAGAUCUAUUUGAUGUAACUCUUUUUGCGGUGUGUUUGUUGGGAUCUGAUGAACUUUGAGUUUAUGAUCAGAUCUAUGUUUUUAUCCAUGAAAAUUAUUUGAGUCUUUUGAUCUCUUAUAUGCGUGAUUACUUAUAGCCUCGUAUUUCUUCUUCGAAUCUUUGGUUUAGUUAGGCCGACUAGAUCGAUUUUUAUUGCCAUGGGAAGAGGUGCUUUGUGAUGGGUUCGAUCUUACGGUGCUUGAUCCCAGUGACAGAAGGGGAAACGACACGUAUGUAUCAUUGCCAUUAAGGAUGACAAGAUGGGGUCUAAUUCCUACAUGAAUAGAUCUUGUCUACAUCAUGUCAUCGUUCUUAUUGCAUUACUCCGUUUCUUCAUGAACUUAAUACACUAGAUCCAUGCUGGAUAGCGGACGAUGUGCGGAGUAAUAGUAGUAAAUGCAGGCAGGAGUCGGUCUACUAGUCUUGAACGUGAUGCCUAUAUAGUGAUCAUUGCUUGAACAUCGUCAUGAUUAUUUAAAGUUCUAUCAAUUGCCCAACACUAAUUUAUUUACCCACCAUAUGCUAUUUUUCUUGAGAGAAGCCACGAGUGAAAUCUAAGGCCUCGGGGUCUCUUCUUUAUCAUAUUCGCCUUCAAGAUAUAUUUUUAUUCGCUUUUACUUCCAGAUCUAUAUUUUCAAAAACCCAAAAAUACCUUGUUGCACUUUAUUUUAUUUUGCGUUUAUUCAAGAUCUAUUUAUCCAAUCUAUCAUAUUUUUAUCCUGUCAACUUGACAAUUCCUGGCACCGUUACUGAAAGGGAUUGACAACCCCUUUAACAUGUCAGGGUGCAAGUCUUUGUUCUUUGUGUGCAGGUGUCGUUUACGUAGUGUUGUAUAUAUAUAUAUGACCAAUAUAGCAUAUCCAACAUAUAUUACCAAUAGUCAUGAACACAUAUAUAUCCAACACAUAUCCAUCACAAAAUUAAAGAAAAUGUUCAGUUAAUAUCAAGUGCAGCACUGAGUCUCAACAAGAGCGAGAGAAGUGCAGCCAGAAGUUUCAUUUUAAAACACACAAGGGGCGCUUUUUCUGCAGCUCAAUGACUUGAUAGAUUCUUCUAAAUUGCUGCAGAUAACUAUUAAUGGUGUGAGGCUACAUUGUUAGUAUACACAUGCACACAAGAUCAUCAGAUUCAGUUUCAGUUUUACAAGAUUACAGUACUAUAUCCUAGGUGUUACAGACUGGCUGUAUAUGUCCAAGUUUGCAUAUAGAUUAAAAAAACAGCAGGUGAAUAAUAUUGGUUUGGAUGCAUGUUAAUGAUGUUAACAACCAACGUAUCAUCUAUUGGCUAGUACUCCCUCCGUUCCUAAAUACUUGUCUACAUACAUCCGUAUAUGAUAAUACAUCCGUAUAUGAUAGUCAUUUGAAAUGCCUAGAAAGACAAGUAUUUAGGAACGGAGGGAGUACAAUAGACAUACUAAUAGUAACUAGCUCGGUAUAUCACAUGUUUAAUAGUUACUCCCUCCGUUCCUAAAUAUAAGUCUUUCUAGUGGUUCCACUAGGUGGACUACAUACGGAGCAAAUUGAAUGAAUCUACACUUAAAAUACAUAUAUAUACAUCCGUAUGUGGUUUAUAGUGGAAUCUCUACAGAGACUUAUAUUUAGGAACGGAGGGAGUACAACUUACUUGAGCUACAUAUCUGGCAUGCAUGUUUUGACUUCCAACGUAAAUAUAGUGAUCCAAAUUCUAUAACUUGUACAGAAAAAUAUUAUCUCCCUCUUAACAGAGACAAGAGGGUCACAUUUAUACUGCACGCACAGUAGUGUGCACGCAUGUACCAGUACCGGUUAAAAUGCGUGUGUGUAAGCAUAUGCCAACAACCUGUGUGUUAUUCAACCAAGGCAGAUGUCGACAACCUGCGAACUAUCAUAUAGGAUACCUAUGUAGCAACACCAGGCAACACACAGUCCAGCAGCAAUAAAAAAAAUACCCGGCAGAGAGAAGGUAGAUAUAUUCCUAAGUUAUGAUGCUGACAGUUGCAAUGUUUUACAAUUUGUAAACUGCAUAAAACAGCGCCGAAUUAGAAUUAGCUGCAACGGAUUAGACUGAUAUAUGUGAUAUUCUAUGUAACAAACCCGUUGGGUAGAUGCUCUGUGCAAAAUCAGUACCAAUAGUUGGUAGUUUGUCCAGUCUCCUCCGCCAAACACAACAUGAAAAUUACCUCCUCGUAUAGAAAUAGAACAGUGGAUAGGCAAAGCCCCGCCGAAUCAGAACAGUUGCACACUGUGGCAUAUAUCCAGGAAUAAGAAAAUACGUAGCAUACGAGAAACUGAUGGGCGAUAAUGCAGAUUCCGAUUCCACACCCACUCAUGGAGCGAAACUUGCAGGCAACUUCGGGCUAGCAGACGCCGCCCGCCUUGUUCCUGGCCACUUGCCUUCGGUCUGUGCCAUCGACACGCGAGAGGAACAUCCGAACAUACAUGCACGGCAGCCAUCGGCUGACCUUGUGAGCCAAGCACUCGAGCCCCGGCUCAGCCACGCAACCUCUGAUUCCAAGUCCAACGUAUGUGGAGAAGACUAGAGUUCAGCUCAGUGCAUCUAUCCAUCUACACGCGUCUGGCCGGGACGGGUUUCUGGAGGCCGGACGGGAGAGGCCCCACGUUUCCUGGCAACAAAGCGGUGGCUGCGGCGGCGCAGAACAAAUCCUCGGAGCACCUCCGCCUCAGUUGGAACAAACAGUGCUGAACAUCACAUAUACCAUGAGGAGCCCUUCAUUCCUUCCUUCCUUCCUUGUAGGUGGCGCACCUGACCUGCGCGCAUCAGGGAGUUGCCAUGUCCAUGGAGAUGGCUGCCAUUGCCGUGGNNNNNNNNNNNNNNNNNNNNNNNNNNNNNNNNNNNNNNNNNNNNNNNNNNNNNNNNNNNNNNNNNNNNNNNNNNNNNNNNNNNNNNNNNNNNNNNNNNNNNNNNNNNNNNNNNNNNNNNNNNNNNNNNNNNNNNNNNNNNNNNNNNNNNNNNNNNNNNNNNNNNNNNNNNNNNNNNNNNNNNNNNNNNNNNNNNNNNNNNNNNNNNNNNNNNNNNNNNNNNNNNNNNNNNNNNNNNNNNNNNNNNNNNNNNNNNNNNNNNNNNNNNNNNNNNNNNNNNNNNNNNNAAGGGCGGAGUCCUCCCCCCCUCCCCCGCGCGAGGAAGAGCAGAGGAAGUGUGUUCCGCCUCGCCGGAGUUUACCCGCCGCGCGCGUCCGCCCCGCAGCCAUCGCCCAUCGGGGUGCAGAAGCACCAUCCACGAGGCGGAACCGCCCGUGGGACUUGCGGUGGGCGUCAAAGAGGGCGGAGCACAGUCGCCGCUGCCGCGCCGGAGUUGGUGGGGACGCCACCCUCGAAACCCUAGCCAUGGGAAGGGGUCGGGGAUGAGCUCCCGGGGCCGCGAGAGGCGGAUCUGGCCGGAAGGAAGGGAAGAGCGGAGGCAGGGGAGCUCGGAUCUGUGCUGCGCGCCGGCGAGGCCGCCGGAACAUGCCGGAAUCGAGCGGCGUAGGUGGCGGCGGCGACGGUUUCGGGGGGAGGGAGAGACGAGCGAGAGAGAGAGGGUGGGAGAGGCGUGCGAAUGUGGGAUGGAGAGGUGGGGCCGUUGGAGAGGUGCUGGCAGACGGCAAAGAGUUGAGUGGGGUCCAGUGGACACCGGCGCUGUAACGGUCCACCAGCCCCCAUCUCUUUUGACUGAUGGCAACCAGGUUCUUUGUCACCGGCGCUGUAACGGUCCACUAGCCCCAUCUCUUUUGACUGAUGGCAACCAGGUUCUUUGUCGUCUGUUUUUUGUAAGCAGAUGAUAAAGAUCUUUUUUGCCGUCUGUUAGCAGACGGCAAAGAGCUGGCUGACGGCAAAGAUCCCAAUUCCAGUAGUGUAACUUCUUGAUUCUUCUCUGAACAUUGCUUCUUCCUGUACUCUUAGAAAUGUAUUGGUGCAAGAGAAAUAGUAGUAGAUAUAUUAAAUAUCAUAUAUCUGCCAUCCUUGUGUAUGUAUGUUAUCAAAAUGAACCAAGUUCAUUUUAUUCCAUCUCACGAACCAAACACUAAAACGUAAUCAUUCCAUUCUACCUAUUAUUUCUAGCCAAACGUAAAAAAAAAAAA
rnacentral:lncRNA from 1 species